GGGUUUUUCUUUGUUUCUUUCUUUCUUUCUUUCUUCUUUUUCCUCCCCUUUGAACUGGAAAAUGGCCCACUUCCCACUGGCGAAAACUCAGGAAAUUUGGCAGGACGACCGGGCCUGGUGAAAAAUUCGAUAUUCUGAAGUCGCCCAAACAAUAAAAUGCAAAAUGGCUCCAUAGCGCCCCCUAAGGUGGAAAUUCACACUAUUGACUGUCACGCCUGUACGCUUUGUCAUAUUGACACAAAAAUUGACACACAUAUGUAUCUCAAUAAGAUCUACAAAAAAGUCAGUGCGGCCGUAUCUGUCAAAUGUACGGUUAAAGGGUUAUUUCGCAUUUUUUUCCGAUCCGCACACAUUGGAAUUUUGCUAACUCCUCCAAAGGCUUUCGUUCCACCGGCACCACAUUUGCUCAGGCCAAUCUACACCCCGUGGCCAUUAAAAGUUAUCAAAAUCAUGACGCUGCACCCCAAGGUUUAGGUUCUAGGGGGCGCCAAAGAUAACACUAAAAUCCACAUAUUUAGAAGUCUUAUAACUUUUUAUUUUUGUCCUCACUGGCCUCCAAGUUUUCUAGGAUGAUGCAAUGUCCAGCCAUAAACACAUUUGUGAAGGAAUUUUUACUCCCCAAAAGAGCGCCCCCCCAUGGCAGGAGAAAAAAGUCCAUUUUUUCUUGUCCCCUAAGGUGAAAAUACACAUUGUUGACUGUCACGCCUUUACGCUUUGUCAAAAUGACACAAAAAUUGACACACACAUGUAACUCAAUAAGAUCUACGAAAAAGUCAACGCGCACGUAUCUGUCAAAUGUACGGUUAAAGGGUUAUUCCGCAUUUUUUGCCGAUCCGCACACAUUGGAAUUUCGCUAACUCCUCCGAAGGCUUUCUGUCCACCGGCACCACAUUUGCUCAGGCCAAUCUACACCCCAUGGCCAUUAAAAGUUAUUCAAAUCAUGACGCUGCACCCCACGGUUUAGGUUCUAGGGGGCGCCAAAGACAACCCUAAAAUCCACAUAUUUAAAAGUCUUAUAACUUUUUAUUUUUGUCCUCACUGGCCUCCAAGUUUUCUAGGAUGAUGCAAUGUCCAGCCAUCAACACAUUUGUGAAGGAAUUUUUACUCCCCAAAAGAGCGCCCCCCCCAUGGCAGGAGAAAAAAGUCCAUUUUUUCUUGUCCCCUAAGGUGAAAAUUCACAUUGUUGAGUGUGACACCUGUACGCUUUGUCAUAUUGACACAAAAUUUGACAAUCACGUGUAUCUCAAUAAGAUCUACGAAAAAGUCAAUGCACGCGUAUCUGUCAAAUGUACGGUUAGAGGGCUAUUUUGCAUUUUUUGCCGAUUCGCACACAUUGGAAUGUGGCUAACUCCUCCUAAGGCUUUUGUCCCACUGACACCAAAUUUCCUCAGACCAAUCUACACCCCAUGGCCAUUCAAAGUUGUAAAAAUCAUGACGCUGCACCCCACGGUUAACGUUCUAGGGGGCGCCAAAGAUGACCCAAAUAUCCACAUUCUUAAAAGAAUCCACAUCCCCCCCCCAUCCCCCCCCAUGGCAGGAGAAAAAGUCAAGUUUUUCCUGCCCAUCGCUCAAUGGCCCAAUCGCAUCGCUCUCCAGGCAACACCGUAAGUAGGAGCAACCCGCAAUUUGGAUAUAUCCUAGCUGUGUUUGUGCCCUCACUCAUGGUCCAGACUUUGUUCAAAUAGGACAUGAAGUUUGUCUGCAGCGAGCGUUUUGGUAGAAACUGCGCCUCCCAUUCAUUAUAAUGGGAAAUGACCACAGACAAGUGCGCACACCAUCUUUGGACCUUGAGUGUGACGCAAUCAGGAGGGGGAGGCGGUCGCGCUGGGGGCGGCGCGACGCGGCUCGGGCCCGACAGUGCCCCACCGGGGCCCUAGUUAUUAUUUUUCCUCCCCUUUGAACUGGAAAAUGGCCCACUUCCCACUGGCGAAAACUCAUGAAAUUUGGCAGGACGACCGGGCCUGGUGAAAAAUUUGAUAUUCCGAAGUCGCCCAAACAAGAAAAUGCAAAAUGGCUCCAUAGCGCCCCCUAAGGUGAAAAUUCACACUAUUGACUGUCACGCCUGUACGCUUUGUCAAAAUGACACAAAAAUUGACACACACAUGUAUCUCAAUAAGAUCUACAAAAAAGUCAGUGCGGGCGUAUCUGUCAAAUGUACGGUUAAAGGGUUAUUUCGCAUUUUUUGCCGAUCCGCACACAUUGGAAUUUCGCUAACUCCUCCGAAGGCUUUCGUUCCACCGGCACCACAUUUGCUCAGGCCAAUCUACACCCCAUGGCCAUUAAAAGUUAUUCAAAUCAUGACGCUGCACCCCACGGUUUAGGUUCUAGGGGGCGCCAAAGAUAACCCUAAAAUCCACAUUUUUAAAAGUCUUAUAACUUUUUAUUUUUGCCCUCACUGGCCUCCAAGUUUUCUAGGAUGAUGCAAUGUCCAGCCAUCAACACAUUUGUGAAGGAAUUUUUACUCCCCAAAAGAGCGCCCCCCCAUGGCAGGAGAAAAAAGUCCAUUUUUUUCUUGUCCCCUAAGGUGAAAAUACACAUUGUUGAGUGUCACGCCUGUACGCUUUGUCAAAAUGACACAAAAAUUGACACACACAUGUAUCUCAAUAAGAUCUACAAAAAAGUCAGUGCGCGCAUAUCUGUCUAAUGUACGGUUAAAGGGUUAUUCCGCAUUUUUUGCCGAUUCGCACACAUUGGAAUUUCGCUAACUCCUCCGAAGGCUUUCGUUCCACCGGCACCACAUUUGCUCAGGCCAAAUUACACCCCAUGGCCAUUAAAAGUUAUUCAAAUCAUGACGCUGCACCCCACGGUUUACGUUCUAGGGGGCGCCAAAGAUAACCCAAAAAUCCACAUUUUUAAAAGUCUUAUAACUUUUUAUUUUUGUCCUCACUGGCCUCCAAGUUUUCUAGGAUGAUGCAAUGUCCAGCCAUCAACACAUUUGUGAAGGAAUUUUUACUCCCCAAAAGAGUGCCCCCCCCCAUGGCAGGAGAAAAAAGUCCAUUUUUUCUUGUCCCCUAAGGUGAAAAUACACAUUGUUGACUGUCACGCCUGUACGCUUUGGCAAAAUGACACAAAAAUUGACAAUCAUGUGUAUCUCAAUUAGAUCUACGAAAAAGUCAAAGAGCGCGUAUCUGUAUAAUGUACGGUAAAAGGGCUAUUUUGCAUUUUUUGCCGAUUCGCACACAUUGGAAUUUCGCUAACUCCUCCUAAGGCUUUCGUCCCACUGACACCAAAUUUGCUCAGGCCAAUCUACACUCCAUGGCCAUUCAAAGUUGUAAAAAUCAUGACGCUGCACCCCACGGUUUACGUUUUAGGGGGCGCCAAAGAUGACCCAAAUAUACAUUACAGUAGACAAAGUAGUUUUGCCCACUGAGUGGCGCCAAAGGGACUUGUCUGUGGAGUCUGUGAGUCACUAUUGGCCGUUUUUGACUACUUUAGAUUUUACCUUUAUAUUUCCUCUUACAAAAUUUUUACCUUGCCUUGCCUGGUAUCAUUUUUUUCAGCACAACCUCACCUGUGUCAAUUUACAGUUAUUUUAUCAUUUUGACAUACUAUAUUUACACAUUGGACCCAAAUUCACACACAAAACAUAAAAUCCGAGUGGAAAAAAGUAACGUUUUUACUGUGAAAACCACAAAUAUGUGUGAUGAACUGUUUUUAAAACUUAAACUUCAAAUAAAAAUUGUAAACUUCAAAACAUAUGCAAAUUUUUAACAAAGAACAUAGUAAUUUACCUCUAUUGACAUCAAAAUGCAGGCAAUGGCCCAGGUGUUCUUUGUAAAAUUAUUUACAAAACACUGUAUAGUCUCACAAAUGUCACUUUAUAUUUAUGCCACUACAAAAAAACAUGAUGUAAAUGAUGCAUGAUGUAAAACAUGAUGUAAAAAACUUGUGUAGAUCCUCCUCUAUGUUAGUCCAUGUGUAAUUUUUCCAUAAUUCUUUGUUUUUUGCAGCAUUUUUGUUAGUGUAACUGCAGAUUGUGCUGACAGUGUCUAUGGCAAAAAAAAAAAAAAAAACUGAAAAUGCCUCAACAUGAACCCCUGGUGGUCUCUGAGGGUGAAACCUGCUAACUGCUGCAGCUCUGUCAGCUUCAGUCUCCCAUGCAGAGCUCGGAGCGCAUGUGUGGCUCUGCACCCUUAGCAGCGUUGCUAACUCCUCAGUAAGGAAAGCCUGCUUCAUGUCAGAGUCUCUAAACUCCAGAAGAAGUCGAUAAAAGUCACUUUCUUUCUAAAAAAAAGUCGUUAGGGGGUCUGAAAAGUCAUUGAAUCUAACAACAAAGUCGCUAGGUUUGCAACUACGUGUCCCAGACUGCAUCCCUGCUGAGAGUCCCUCCCUCCCUUCUCAUAUUGCAGGAAGAACGUAAGUUCCCGCCCCUUGUCAAUCAGUCACCAUAUAAUUUUGGAUUGGUUGUUGUGGUGAAGUUUUCCACCAAUAGGAGAGAUGUUGUGGUGUGUUUUUUUUUUCCUUUGGCAAGCCUUUUCCGCCUGUAAGACCUGUCGCUAAUGUCUGCAUGCUAUGUUUUCCUGUCUCAUACAGCGCGAUCGAGCGCCGAACGUGAUCAAAAUAAGCAGAAAACAAGUAUCGUGGACAUAAUUUAUCAUAACUCUGGUUUUAUUUGGCCUAUCAACACAAUUUAAAAACUGGUAUAUAGGUUGAGGUCCUCACUUUUGAGAUAAAUUGAAACGGAGAGUCAACGAGGCUCCGUCUUGCAGCUACAUCCGGUUAAAUAUGUCAUGUGACUUGAACGCGCACACACACACACACACACACACACACACACACACACACACACACACGCACACACACACACACUCAGAGUCUGGUUUUUAGCACCUGCAAAAACAUGCUAUUUACAUAUUUGACAAGAAUGCAGAGGCUCCUUUUGCCCCUGAAAAAAAUCAAAUUUCAAACACAACUUGACUGGUCAUUUCUCCAAAAGACAACCAUGAAGCUCCAUCCAAACCUGAAGCAGGCAGUUGGUGCAUGUGUACAGUAACCUGAGGGGAGUGAGGUGACUGCUUCUGAGGAGAACAUGAGCAGUGAAGAUUCACCUUAGAGCUAGAACAGAGACGUGCACAUGAUUAUACAGGGGCAGGGGCUCAAGUUUUUUCCAGUUGUUUAUACAAUAUGGAAAUUAAUGUGAAAUUAAAACACAAAGUAUUAAUAGAAAGGUAAUGACUGUCCUGUGUAGGUGACAGUGAUAUCCAAUAGGCUAGGCACUCACGAGGCUGGCUGUGGCAAGUGUAAGUGAAAGCAACACGCACUGGCAGGAAGAACAGCAAACGCCGAUGAAGGAAAAGGGUCUUUGCAGUGAUGGGCGUUACCAGAGAGGGCGAUGGCCAGAGGACACAAAUGGGACGGGGAGGCAGCGCGUUGGGGGGGGGACGCGACACAGCUCGGGCCCGCCAGUGCCCCAACGGGGUCCUAGUUCUUUCUUUCUUUCUUUCUUUCUUCUUUUUCCUCCCCUUUGAACUGGAAAAUGGCCCACUUCCCACUGGCGAAAACUCAUGAAAUUUGGCAGGACGACCGGGCCUGGUGAAAAAUUCGAUAUUCUGAAGUCGCCCAAACAAUAAAAUGCAAAAUGGCUCCAUAGCGCCCCCUAAGGUGGAAAUUCACACUAUUGACUGUCACGCCUGUACGCUUUGUCAUAUUGACACAAAAAUUGACACACAUAUGUAUCUCAAUAAGAUCUACAAAAAAGUCAGUGCGGCCGUAUCUGUCAAAUGUACGGUUAAAGGGUUAUUUCGCAUUUUUUUCCGAUCCGCACACAUUGGAAUUUCGCUAACUCCUCCAAAGGCUUUCGUUCCACCGGCACCACAUUUGCUCAGGCCAAUCUACACCCCGUGGCCAUUAAAAGUUAUCAAAAUCAUGACGCUGCACCCCAAGGUUUAGGUUCUAGGGGGCGCCAAAGAUAACACUAAAAUCCACAUAUUUAAAAGUCUUAUAACUUUUUAUUUUUGUCCUCACUGGCCUCCAAGUUUUCUAGGAUGAUGCAAUGUCCAGCCAUCAACACAUUUGUGAAGGAAUUUUUACUCCCCAAAAGAGCGCCCCCCCAUGGCAGGAGAAAAAAGUCCAUUUUUCUUGUCCCCUAAGGUGAAAAUACACAUUGUUGAGUGUCACGCCUAUACGCUUUGUCAAAAUGACACAAAAAUUGACACACACAUCUAACUCAAUAAGAUCUACGAAAAAGUCAAUGCGCGCGUAUCUGUCAAAUGUACGGUUAAAGGGUUAUUCCGCAUUUUUUGCCGAUCCGCACACAUUGGAAUGUGGCUAACUCCUCCUAAGGCUUUCGUUCCACCGGCACCACAUUUGCUCAGGCCAAUCUACACCCCAUGGCCAUUAAAAGUUAUUCAAAUCAUGACGCUGCACCCCACGGUUUAGGUUCUAGGGGGCGCCAAAGAUAACCCUAAAAUCCAGAUAUUUCAAAGUCUUAUAACUUUUUAUUUAAGUCCUCACUGGCCUCCAAGUUUUCUAGGAUGAUGCAAUGUCCAGCCAUCAACACAUUUGUGAAGGAAUUUUUACUCCCCAAAAGAGCGCCCCAUGGCAGGAGAAAAAAGUCCAUUUUUUCUUGUCCCAUAAGGUGAAAAAACACAUUGUUGACUGUCAUACCUGUACGCUUUGUCAUAUUGACACAAAAUCUGACAAUCACAUGUAUCUCAAUAAGAUCUACGAAAAAGUCAAUGCGUGCGUAUCUGUAAAAUGUACGGUUAAAGGGCUAUUUUGCAUUUUUUGCCGAUUCGCACACAUUGGAAUGUGGCUAACUCCUCCUAAGGCUUUCGUCCCACUGACACCAAAUUUGCUCAGGCCAAUCUACACCCCAUGGCCAUUCAAAGUUGUAAAAAUCAUGACGCUGCACCCCACGGUUUACGUUCUAGGGGGCGCCAAAGAUGACCCAAAUAUCCACAUUCUUAAAAGAAUCCACCCCCCCCAUCCCCCAACCCCCAACCCCCAUGGCAGGAGAAACAGUCAAGUUUUUCCUGCCCAUCACUCAAUGGCUCAAUCGCAUCACUCUCCCGGCAACACCGUAACGAGGAGCAACUUGCCAUUUGGAUAUAUCCUAGCUGUGUUUGUGCCCUCACUCAUGGUCCAGACUUUUUUCAAAUAGGACAUGUAGUUUGUCUGCAGCGAGUGUUUUGGUAGAAACUGCACCUCCCAUUCAUUAUAAUGGGAAAUGACCACAGACAAGUGCGCACACCAUCUUUGGACCUUGAGUGUGACGCGAUCGGGAGGGGGAGGCGGUCGCGCUGGGGGCGGCGCAACGCGGCUCGGGCCCGACAGUGCCCCACCGGGGCCCUAGUUACCUUUCUAUUAAUACUUUGUGUUUUAAUUUCACAUUAAUUUCCAUAUUGUAUAAACGACUGGAAAAAACUUGAGCCCCUGCCCCUGUAUAAUCAUGUGCAUGUCUCUGUUCUAGCUCCAAGGUGAAUCUUCACUGCUCAUGUUCUCCUCAGAAGCACUCACCUCACUCCCCUCAGGUUACUGUACACAUGCACCAACUGCCUGCUUCAGGUUUGGAUGGAGCUUCAUGGUUGUCUUUUGGAGAAAUGACCAGUCAAGUUGUGUUUGAAAUUUGAUUUUUUUCAGGGGCAAAAGGAGCCUCUGCAUUCUUGUCAAAUAUGUAAAUAGCAUGUUUUUGCAGGUGCUAAAAACCAGACUCUGAGUGUGUGUGUGUGUGUGUGUGUGUGUGUGCGUGUGUGUGUGUCUGUGUGUGCGUUCAAGUCACAUGACAUAUUUAACCGGAUGUAGCUGCAAGACGGAGCCUCGUUGACUCUCCGUUUCAACUUAUCUCAAAAGUGAGGACCUCAACCUAUAUACCAGUUUUUAAAUUGUGUUGAUAGGCCAAAUAAAACCAGAGUUAUGAUAAAUUAUGUCCGCGAUACUUUUUUUCUGCUUAUUUUGAUCACGUUCGGCGCUCGAUCGCGCUGUAUGAGACAGGAAAACAUAGCAUGCAGACAUUAGCGACAGCUCUUACAGGCGGAAAAGGCUUGCCAAAAGAAAAAAAAAACACACCACAACAUCUCUCCUAUUGGUGGAAAACUUCACCACAACAACCAAUCCAAAAUUAUAUGGUGACUGAUUGACAAGGGGGGGGCGCUUACGUUCUUCCUGCAACAUGAGAAGGGAGGGAGGGACUCUCAGCAGGGAUGCAGUCUGGGACACGUAGUUGCAAACCUAGCGACUUUGUUGUUAGAUUCAAUGACUUUUCAGACCCCCUAACGACUUUUUUUUAGAAAGAAAGGGACUUUUAUCGACUUCUUCUGGAGUUUAGAGACUCUGACAUGAAGCAGGCUUUCCUUACUGAGGAGUUAGCAACGCUGCUAAGGGUGCAGAGCCACACAUGCGCUCAGAGCUCUGCAUGGGAGACUGAAGCUGACAGAGCUGCAGCAGUUAGCAGGUUUCACCCUCAGAGACCACCAGGGGUUCAUGUUGAGGCAUUUUAAUUUAUUUUUUUUUUUUUGUGCCAUAGACACUGUCAGCACAAUCUGCAGUUACACUAACAAAAAUGCUGCAAAAAACAAAGAAUUAUGGAAAAAUUACACAUGGACUGACAUAGAGGAGGAUCUACACAAGUUUUUUACAUCAUGUUUUACAUCAUGCAUCAUUUACAUCAUGUUUUUUUGUAGUGGCAUAAAUAAAAAGUGACAUUUGUGAGACUAUACAGUGUUUUGUAAAUAAUUUUACAAAGAACGCCUGGGCCAUUGCCUGCAUUUUGAUGUAAAUAGAGGUAAAUCACUAUGUUCUUUGUUAAAAAUUUGCAUAUGUUUUGAAGUUUACAAUUUUUAUUUGAAGUUUAAGUUUUAAAAACAGUUCAUCACACAUAUUUGUGGUUUUCACAGUAAAAAUGUUACUUUUUUCCACUCGGAUUUUAUGUUUUGUGUGUGAAUUUGGGUCCAUUGUGUAAAUUCAGUAUGUCAACAUGAUAAAAUAACUGUAAAUUCGCACAGGUGAGGUUGUGCUGAAAAAAAUGAUACCAGGCAAGGCACGUGAUUGUCAAAUUUUGUGUCAAUAUGACAAAGCGUAUAGGCGUGAAUCUCAACAAUAUGUAUUUUCACCUUAGAGGACAAGAAAAAAUGGACUUUUUUCUCCUGCCAUGGGGGGGCGCUCUUUUGGGGAGUAAAAAUUCCUUCACAAAUGUGUUGAUGGCUGGACAUUGCAUCAUCCUAGAAAACUUGGAGGCCAGUGAGGACAAAAAUAAAAAGUUAUAAGACUUUUAAAUAUGUGGAUUUUAGGGUUAUCUUUGGCGCCCCCUAGAACCUAAACCGUGGGGUGCAGCGUCAUGAUUUUGAUAACUUUUAAUGGCCAUGGGGUGUAGAUUGGCCUGAGCAAAUGUGGUGCCGGUGGAACGAAAGCCUUAGGAGGAGUUAGCGAAAUUCCAAUGUGUGCGGAUCGGCAAAAAAUGCGGAAUAACCCUUUAACCGUACAUUUGACAGAUACGCACGCAUUGACUUUUUCGUAGAUCUUAUUGAGUUACAUGUGUGUGUCAAUUUUUGUGUCAUUUUGACAAAGCGUAUAGGCGUGACACUCAACAAUGUGUAUUUUCACCUUAGGGGACAAGAAAAAAUGGACUUUUUUCUCCUGCCAUGGGGGGGCGCUCUUUUGGGGAGUAAAAAUUCCUUCACAAAUGUGUUGAUGGCUGGACAUUGCAUCAUCCUAGAAAACUUGGAGGCCAGUGAGGACAAAAAUAAAAAGUUAUAAGACUUUUAAAUAUGUGGAUUUUAGUGUUAUCUUUGGCGCCCCCUAGAACCUAAACCUUGGGGUGCAGCGUCAUGAUUUUGAUAACUUUUAAUGGCCACGGGGUGUAGAUUGGCCUGAGCAAAUGUGGUGCCGGUGGAACGAAAGCCUUCGGAGGAGUUAGCGAAAUUCCAAUGUGUGCGGAUCGGCAAAAAAUGCGAAAUAACCCUUUAACCGUAAUUUUGACAGAUACGGCCGCACUGACUUUUUUGUAGAUCUUAUUGAGAUACAUAUGUGUGUCAAUUUUUGUGUCAAUAUGACAAAGCGUACAGGCGUGACAGUCAAUAGUGUGAAUUUUCACCUUAGGGGGCGCUAUGGAGCCAUUUUGCAUUUUAUUGUUUGGGCGACUUCAGAAUAUCAAAUUUUUCACCAGGCCCGGUCGUCCUGCCAAAUUUCAUGAGUUUUCGCCAGUGGGAAGUGGGCCAUUUUCCAGUUCAAAGGGGAGGAAAAAGAAAAAAGAAAGAAAGAAACAAAGAAAAACCACUUGGGGAAUAAUAGGGCCUACGCCCGGCUGCUCUGCAGCUGGCUCGGGCCCUAACUAGGACCCCGUUGGGGCACUGGCGGGCCCGAGCUGUGUCGCGCCCCCCCCCCCAACGCGCUGCCUCCCCGUCCCAUUUGUGUCCUCUGGCCAUCGCCCUCUUUGGUAACACCCAUCACUGCAAAGACCCUUUUCCUUCAUCGGCGUUUGCUGUUCUUCCUGCCAGUGCGUGUUGCUUUCACUUACACUUGCCACAGCCAGCCUCGUGAGUGCCUAGCCUAUUGGAUAUCACUGUCACCUACACAGGACAGUCAUUACCUUUCUAUUAAUACUUUGUUUUUUAAUUUCACAUUAAUUUCCAAAUUGUAUAAACGACUGGAAAAAACUUGAGCCCCUGCCCCUGUAUAAUCAUGUGCACGUCUCUGUUCUAGCUCUAAGGUAAAUCUUCACUGCUCAUGUUCUCCUCAGAAGCAGUCACCUCACUCCCCUCAGGUUACUGUACACAUGCACCAACUGCCUGCUUCAGGUUUGGAUGGAGCUUCAUGGUUGUCUUUUGGAGAAAUGACCAGUCAAGUUGUGUUUGAAAUUUGAUUUUUUUCAGGGGCAAAAGGAGCCUCUGCAUUCUUGUCAAAUAUGUAAAUAGCAUGUUUUUGCAGGUGCUACAAACCAGACUCUGAGUGUGUGUGUGUGCGUGUGUGUGUGUGUCUGUGUGUGUGUGUGUGUGUGCGUUCAAGUCACAUGACAUAUUUAACCGGAUGUAGCUGCAAGACGGAGCCUCGUUGACUCUCCGUUUCAAUUUAUCUCAAAAGUGAGGACCUCAACCUAUAUACCAGUUUUUAAAUUGUGUUGAUAGGCCAAAUAAAACCAGAGUUAUGAUAAAUUAUGUCCGCGAUACUUGUUUUCUGCUUAUUUUGAUCACGUUCGGCGCUCGAUCGCGCUGUAUGAGACAGGAAAACAUAGCAUGCAGACAUUAGCGACAGGUCUUACAGGCGGAAAAGGCUUGCCAAAGGAAAAAAAAUACACACCACAACAUCUCUCCUAUUGGUGGAAAACUUCACCACAACAACCAAUCCAAAAUUAUAUGGUGACUGAUUGACAAGGGGCGGGAACUUACGUUCUUCCUGCAAUAUGAGAAGGGAGGGAGGGACUCUCAGCAGGGAUGCAGUCUGGGACACGUAGUUGCAAACCUAGCGACUUUGUUGUUAGAUUCAAUGACUUUUCAGACCCCCUAACGACUUUUUUUUAGAAAGAAAGUGACUUUUAUCGACUUCUUCUGGAGUUUAGAGACUCUGACAUGAAGCAGGCUUUCCUUACUGAGGAGUUAGCAACGCUGCUAAGGGUGCAGAGCCACACAUGCGCUCCGAGCUCUGCAUGGGAGACUGAAGCUGACAGAGCUGCAGCAGUUAGCAGGUUUCACCCUCAGAGACCACCAGGGGUUCAUGUUGAGGCAUUUUCAGUUUUUUUUUUUUUUUUUUUUGCCAUAGACACUGUCAGCACAAUCUGCAGUUACACUAACAAAAAUGCUGCAAAAAACAAAGAAUUAUGGAAAAAUUACACAUGGACUAACAUAGAGGAGGAUCUACACAAGUUUUUUACAUCAUGUUUUACAUCAUGCAUCAUUUACAUCAUGUUUUUUUGUAGUGGCAUAAAUAAAAAGUGACAUUUGUGAGACUAUACAGUGUUUUGUAAAUAAUUUUACAAAGAACACCUGGGCCAUUGCCUGCAUUUUGAUGUCAAUAGAGGUAAAUUACUAUGUUCUUUGUUAAAAAUUUGCAUAUGUUUUGAAGUUUACAAUUUUUAUUUGAAGUUUAAGUUUUAAAAACAGUUCAUCACACAUAUUUGUGGUUUUCACAGUAAAAACGUUACUUUUUUCCACUCGGAUUUUAUGUUUUGUGUGUGAAUUUGGGUCCAAUGUGUAAAUAUAGUAUGUCAAAAUGAUAAAAUAACUGUAAAUUGACACAGGUGAGGUUGUGCUGAAAAAAAUGAUACCAGGCAAGGCAAGGUAAAAAUUUUGUAAGAGGAAAUAUAAAGGUAAAAUCUAAAGUAGUCAAAAACGGCCAAUAGUGACUCACAGACUCCACAGACAAGUCCCUUUGGCGCCACUCAGUGGGCAAAACUACUUUGUCUACUGUAAUGUAUAUUUGGGUCAUCUUUGGCGCCCCCUAAAACGUAAACCGUGGGGUGCAGCGUCAUGAUUUUUACAACUUUGAAUGGCCAUGGAGUGUAGAUUGGCCUGAGCAAAUUUGGUGUCAGUGGGACGAAAGCCUUAGGAGGAGUUAGCGAAAUUCCAAUGUGUGCGAAUCGGCAAAAAAUGCAAAAUAGCCCUUUUACCGUACAUUAUACAGAUACGCGCUCUUUGACUUUUUCGUAGAUCUAAUUGAGAUACACAUGAUUGUCAAUUUUUGUGUCAUUUUGCCAAAGCGUACAGGCGUGACAGUCAACAAUGUGUAUUUUCACCUUAGGGGACAAGAAAAAAUGGACUUUUUUCUCCUGCCAUGGGGGGCGCUCUUUUAGGGAGUAAAAAUUCCUUCACAAAUGUGUUGAUGGCUGGACAUUGCAUCAUCCUAGAAAACUUGGAGGCCAGUGAGGACAAAAAUAAAAAGUUAUAAGACUUUUAAAAAUGUGGAUUUUUGGGUUAUCUUUGGCGCCCCCUAGAACGUAAACCGUGGGGUGCAGCGUCAUGAUUUGAAUAACUUUUAAUGGCCAUGGGGUGUAGAUUGGCCUGAGCAAAUGUGGUGCCGGUGGAACGAAAGCCUUCGGAGGAGUUAGCGAAAUUCCAAUGUGUGCGGAUCGGCAAAAAAUGCGAAAUAACCCUUUAACCGUACAUUAGACAGAUACGCGCGCAUGGACUUUUUUGUAGAUCUUAUUGAGAUACAUGUGUGUGUCAAUUUUUGUGUCAUUUUGACAAAGCGUACAGGCGUGACAGUCAAUAGUGUGAAUUUUCACCUUAGGGGACAAGAAAAAAUGGACUUUUUUCUCCUGCCAUGGGGGGGCGCUCUUUUGGGGAGUAAAAAUUCCUUCACAAAUGUGUUGAUGGCUGGACAUUGCAUCAUCCUAGAAAACUUGGAGGCCAGUGAGGGCAAAAAUAAAAAGUUAUAAGACUUUUAAAUAUGUGGAUUUUAGGGUUAUCUUUGGCGCCCCCUAGAACCUAAACCGUGGGGUGCAGCGUCAUGAUUUGAAUAACUUUUAAUGGCCAUGGGGUGUAGAUUGGCCUGAGCAAAUGUGGUGCCGGUGGAACGAAAGCCUUCGGAGGAGUUAGCGAAAUUCCAAUGUGUGCGGAUCGGCAAAAAAUGCGAAAUAACCCUUUAACCGUACAUUUGACAGAUACGCCCGCACUGACUUUCUUGUAGAUCUUAUUGAGAUACAUGUGUGUGUCAAUUUUUGUGUCAUUUUGACAAAGCGUACAGGCGUGACAGUCAAUAGUGUGAAUUUUCACCUUAGGGGGCGCUAUGGAGCCAUUUUGCAUUUUCUUGUUUGGGCGACUUCGGAAUAUCAAAUUUUUUACCAGGCCCGGUCGUCCUGCCAAAUUUCAUGAGUUUUCGCCAGUGGGAAGUGGGCCAUUUUCCAGUUCAAAGGGGAGGAAAAAGAAAAAAGAAAGAAAGAAACAAAGAAAAACUAGGGCCCCGUUGGGGCACUGGCGGGCCCGAGCUGUGUCGCCCCCCCCCCCCCCCCCCCCAACGCGCUGCCUCCCCGUCCCAUUCGCGUCCUCUGGCCAUCGUCCUCUCUGGUAACGCCCAUCACUGCAAAGACCCUUUUCCUUCAUCGGCGUUUGCUGUUCUUCCUGCCAGUGCGUGUUGCUUUCACUUACACUUGCCACAGCCAGCCUUGUGAGUGCCUAGCCUAUUGGAUAUCACUGUCACCUACACAGGACAGUCAUUACCUUUCUAUUAAUACUUUGUUUUUUAAUUUCACAUUAAUUUCCAUAUUGUAUAAACGACUGGAAAAAACUUGAGCCCCUGCCCCCGUAUAAUCAUGUGCACGUCCCUGUUCUCGCUCCAAGGUGAAUCUUCACUGCUCAUGUUCUCCUCAGAAGCAGUCACCUCACUCCCCUCAGGUUACUGUACACAUGCACCAACUGCCUGCUUCAGGUUUGGAUGGAGCUUCAUGGUUGUCUUUUGGAGAAAUGAGCAGCCAAGUUGUGUUAGAAAUUUGAUUUUUUUCAGGGGCAAAAGGAAGCCUCUGCAUUGUUGUCAAAUAUGUAAAUAGCAUGUUUUUGCAGGUGCUAAAAAACAGACUCUGAGUGUGUGUGUGUGUGUGUGUGUGUGUGUGUGUGUGUCUGUGUGUGUGUGUGUCUGUGUGUGUGUAUCCUGCAGUACUCUGUACUCCUGCAGUGGCCAAAACGACUUUUAAGAAUGUGGAUAUUUGGGUCAUCUUUGGCGCCCCCUAGAACGUAAACCAUGGGGUGCAGCGGCAUGAUUUUUACAACUUUGAAUGGCCAUGGGGUGUAGAUUGGCCUGAGCAAAUUUGGUGUCAGUGGGACGAAAGCCUUAGGAGGAGUUAGCCACAUUCCAAUGUGUGCGAAUCGGCAAAAAAUGCAAAAUAGCCCUUUAGCCGUACAUUUUACAGAUACGCGCCCAUUGACUUUUUCGUAGAUCUUAUUGAGAUACACGUGUGUGUCAAAUUUUUUGUCAAUACGACAAAGCGUACAGGCGUGACACUCAACAAUGUGUAUUUUCACCUUAGGGGACAAGAAAAAAUGGACUUUUUAUUCCUGCCAUGGGGGGGCGCUCUUUUGGGGAGUAAAAAUUCCUUCACAAAUGUGUUGAUGGCUGGACAUUGCAUCAUCCUAGAAAACUUGGAGGCCAGUGAGGACAAAAAAAAAAAAUUAUAAAACUUUUAAGAAUGUGGAUUUUUGGGUUAUUUUUGGCGCCCCCUAGAACCUAAACCAUGGGGUGCAGCAUUAUGAUUUGUACAACUUUGAAUGGCCAUGGAGUGUAGAUUGGCCUGAGCAAAUGUGGUGCCGGUGGAACGAAAGCCUUCGGAGGAGUUAGCGAAAUUCCAAUGUGUGCGGAUCUGCAAAAAAUGCAAAAUAACCCUUUAACCGUACAUUUGACAGAUACGCCCGCACUGACUUUUUUGUAGAUCUUAUUGAGAUACAUGUGUGUGUCAAUUUUUGUGUCAAUAUGACAAAGCGUACAGGCGUGACAGUCAAUAGUGUGAAUUUUCACCUUAGGGGGCGCUAUGGAGCCAUUUUGCAUUUUCUUGUUUGGGCGACUUCAGAAUAUCGAAUUUUUCACCAGGCCCGGUCGUCCUGCCAAAUUUCAUGAGUUUUCGCCAGUGGGAAGUGGGCCAUUUUCCAGUUUAAAGCGGAGGAAAAAUAAUAAUAAUAACAAACUAGGACCCCGUUGGGGCACUGGCGGGCCCGAGCCGUGUCGCGUCCCCCCCCCCCCCCCAACGUGCUGCCUUCCCGUCCCAUUUGUGUCCUCUGGCCAUCGCCCUCUCUGGUAACGCCCAUCACUGCAAAGACCCUUUUCCUUCAUCGGCGUUUGCUGUUCUUCCUGCCAGUGCGUGUUGCUUUCACUUACACUUGCCACAGCCAGCCUCGUGAGUGCCUAGCCUAUUGGAUAUCACUGUCACCUACACAGGACAGUCAUUACCUUUCUAUUAAUACUUUGUGUUUUAAUUUCACAUUAAUUUCCAUAUUGUAUAAACGACUGGAAAAAACUUGAGCCCCUGCCCCUGUAUAAUCAUGUGCAUGUCUCUGUUCUAGCUCCAAGGUGAAUCUUCACUGCUCAUGUUCUCCUCAGAAGCACUCACCUCACUCCCCUCAGGUUACUGUACACAUGCACCAACUGCCUGCUUCAGGUUUGGAUGGAGCUUCAUGGUUGUCUUUUGGAGAAAUGAGCAGUCAAGUUGUGUUUGAAAUUUGAUUUUUUUCAGGGGCAAAAGGAGCCUCUGCAUUCUGGUCAAAUAUGUAAAUAGCAUGUUUUUGCAGGUGCUAAAAACCAGACUCUGAGUGUGUGUGUGUGUGUGUGUGUGUGUGUGUGUGUGUGUGUGUGUGUGUGUGUGUGCGUGUGUGUGUGUCUGUGUGUGCGUUCAAGUCACAUGACAUAUUUAACCGGAUGUAGCUGCAAGACGGAGCCUCGUUGACUCUCCGUUUCAACUUAUCUCAAAAGUGAGGACCUCAACCUAUAUACCAGUUUUUAAAUUGUGUUGAUAGGCCAAAUAAAACCAGAGUUAUGAUAAAUUAUGUCCGCGAUACUUUUUUUCUGCUUAUUUUGAUCACGUUCGGCGCUCGAUCGCGCUGUAUGAGACAGGAAAACAUAGCAUGCAGACAUUAGCGACAGGUCUUACAGGCGGAAAAGGCUUGCCAAAAGAAAAAAAAAACACACCACAACAUCUCUCCUAUUGGUGGAAAACUUCACCACAACAACCAAUCCAAAAUUAUAUGGUGACUGAUUGACAAGGGGCGGGCGCUUACGUUCUUCCUGCAACAUGAGAAGGGAGGGAGGGACUCUCAGCAGGGAUGCAGUCUGGGACACGUAGUUGCAAACCUAGCGACUUUGUUGUUAGAUUCAAUGACUUUUCAGACCCCCUAACGACUUUUUUUUUAGAAAGAAAGGGACUUUUAUCGACUACUUCUGGAGUUUAGAGACUCUGACAUGAAGCAGGCUUUCCUUACUGAGGAGUUAGCAACGCUGCUAAGGGUGCAGAGCCACACAUGCGCUCAGAGCUCUGCAUGGGAGACUGAAGCUGACAGAGCUGCAGCAGUUAGCAGGUUUCACCCUCAGAGACCACCAGGGGUUCAUGUUGAGGCAUUUUAAUUUUUUUUUUUUUUUGUGCCAUAGACACUGUCAGCACAAUCUGCAGUUACACUAACAAAAAUGCUGCAAAAAACAAAGAAUUAUGGAAAAAUUACACAUGGACUGACAUAGAGGAGGAUCUACACAAGUUUUUUACAUCAUGUUUUACAUCAUGCAUCAUUUACAUCAUGUUUUUUUGUAGUGGCAUAAAUAAAAAGUGACAUUUGUGAGACUAUACAGUGUUUUGUAAAUAAUUUUACAAAGAACGCCUGGGCCAUUGCCUGCAUUUUGAUGUAAAUAGAGGUAAAUUACUAUGUUCUUUGUUAAAAAUUUGCAUAUGUUUUGAAGUUUACAAUUUUUAUUUGAAGUUUAAGUUUUAAAAACAGUUCAUCACACAUAUUUGUGGUUUAAUUUCACAUUAAUUUCCAUAUUGUAUAAAUGACUGGAAAAAACUUGAGCCCCUGCCCCUGUAUAAUCAUGUGCACGUCCCUGUUCUAGCUCCAAGGUGAAUCUUCACUGCUCAUGUUCUCCUCAGAAAUAGUCACCUCACUCCCCUCAGGUUACUGUACACAUGCACCAACUAUCUGCUUCAGGUUUGAAAUGGAGCUUCAUGGUUGUCUUUUGGAGAAAUGAACAGUCAAGUUGUGUUUGAAAUUUGAUUUUUUUCAGGGGCAAAAGGAAGCCUCUGCAUUCUUGUCAAAUAUGUAAACAGCAUGUUUUUGCAGGUGCUAAAAAACAGACUCUGAGUGUGUGUGUGUGUCUGUGUGUGUGUGUGUGUGUGUGUAUGUUGGCGUGUGUGUAUAUGUGUGUGUAUCCUGCAGUACUCUGUACUCCUGCAGUGGCCAAAAAGACUUUUAAGAAUGUGGAUUUUUGGGUCAUCUUUGGCGCCCCCUAGAACUGCAGUACUCUGUACUCCUGCAGUGGCCAAAAUGACUUUUAAGAAUGUGGAUUUUUGGGUCAUCUUUGGCGCCCCCUAGAACGUAAACCGUGGGGUGCAGCGUCAUGAUUUUUACAACUUUGAAUGGGCAUGGGGUGUAGAUUGCCCUGAGCAAAUUUGGUAUCGGUGGGACGAAAGCCUUAGGAGGAGAUAGCCACAUUCCAAUGUGUGCGAAUCGGCAAAAAAUGCAAAAUAGCCCUUUAACCGUACAUUAUACAGAUACGCGCUCUUUGACUUUUUUGUAGAUCUAAUUGAGAUACACAUGAUUGUCAAUUUUUGUGUCAAUAUGACAAAGCGUUCAGGCGUGACACUCAACAAUGUGUAUUUUCAUGUAAGGGGACAAGAAAAAAUUGACUUUUUUCUCCUACCAUGGGGGGGCGCUCUUUUGGGGAGUAAAAAUUCCUUCACAAAUGUGUUGAUGGCUGGACAUUGCAUCAUCCUAGAAAACUUGGAGGCCAGUGAGGACAAAAAUAAAAAGUUAUAAAACAUUUAAGAAUGUGGAUUUUUGGGUUAUUUUUGGCGCCCCCUAGAACCUAAACCAUGGGGUGCAGCAUCAUGAUUUGAAUAACUUUUAAUGGCCAUGGGGUGUAGAUUGGCCUGAGCAAAUGUGGUGCCGGUGGAACGAAAGCCUUCGGAGGAGUUAGCGAAAUUCCAAUGUGUGCGUAUCGGCAAAAAAUGCGGAAUAACCCUUUAACUGUACAUUUGACAGAUACGCGCGCAUUGACUUUUUUGUAGAUCUUAUUGAGUUACAUGUGUGUGUCAAUUUUUGUGUCAUUUUGACAAAGCGUAUAGGCGUGACACUCAACAAUGUGUAUUUUCACCUUAGGAGACAAGAAAAAAUGGACUUUUUUCUCCUGCCAUGGGGGGGCGCUCUUUUGGGGAGUAAAAAUUCCUUCACAAAUGUGUUGAUGGCUGGACAUUGCAUCAUCCUAGAAAACUUGGAGGCCAGUGAGGACAAAAAUAAAAAGUUAUAAGACUUUUAAAUAUGUGGAUUUUAGUGUUAUCUUUGGCGCCCCCUAGAACCUAAACCUUGGGGUGCAGCGUCAUGAUUUUGAUAACUUUUAAUGGCCACGGGGUGUAGAUUGUCCUGAGCAAAUGUGGUGCCGGUGGAACGAAAGCCUUCGGAGGAGUUAGCGAAAUUCCAAUGUGUGCGGAUUGGAUAAAAAUGCGAAAUAACCCUUUAACCGUACAUUUGACAGAUACGGCCGCACUGACUUUUUUGUAGAUCUUAUUGAGAUACAUAUGUGUGUCAAUUUUUGUGUCAAUAUGACAAAGCGUACAGGCGUGACAGUCAAUAGUGUGAAUUUCCACCUUAGGGGGCGCUAUGGAGCCAUUUUGCAUUUUAUUGUUUGGGCGACUUCAGAAUAUCGAAUUUUUCACCAGGCCCGGUCGUCCUGCCAAAUUUCAUGAGUUUUCGCCAGUGGGAAGUGGGCCAUUUUCCAGUUCAAAGGGGAGGAAAAAGAAGAAAGAAAGAAACAAAGAAAAACCCCUUGGGGAAUAAUAGGGCUCUCGCAGCUGCUUAGCAGCUACGCUCGGGCCCUAACUAGGGCCCCGGUGGGGCACUGUCGGGCCCGAGCCGCGUCGCGCCGCCCCCAGCGCGACCGCCUCCCCCUCCUGAUCGCAUCACACUCAAGGUCCAAAGAUGGUGUGCGCACUUGUCUGUGGUCAUUUCCCAUUAUAAUGAAUGGGAGGCGCAGUUUCUACCAAAACGGUCGCUGCAGACAAACUACAUGUCCUAUUUGAAAAAAGUGUGGAUCAUGAGUGAGGGCACAAACACAGCUAGGAUAUAUCCAAAUGGCAAGUUGCUCCUCCUUACGGUGUUGCCAGGAGAGCGAUGCGAUUGAGCCAUUGAGCGAUGGGCAGGGUUAACUGGACUUUUUCUCCUGCCUUGGGGGGGGGGGGGGGAUGUGGAUUCUUUUAAGAAUGUGGAUAUUUGGGUCAUCUUUGGCGCCCCCUAGAACGUAAACCAUGGGGUGCAGCGGCAUGAUUUUUACAACUUUGAAUGGCCAUGGGAUGUAGAUCGGCUUGAGCAAAUUUGGUGUCGGUGGAAAGAAAGCCUUAGGAGGAGUUAGCCACAUUCCAAUGUGUGCGAAUCGGCAAAAAAUGCGAAAUAGCCCUUUAACCGUACAUUUUACAGAUACGUGCCCAUUGACUUUUUCGUAGAUCUUAUUGAGAUACACGUGUGUAUCAAAUUUUGUGUCAUUUUGACAAAGCGUAUAGGCGUGACACUCAACAAUGUGUUUUUUCCCCUUAGGGGACAAGAAAAAAUGGACUUUUUUCUCCUGCCAUGGGGGGGCGCUCUUUUCGGGAGUAAAAAUUCCUUCACAAAUGUGUUGAUGGCUGGACAUUGCAUCAUCCUAGAAAACUUGGAGGCCAGUGAGGACAAAAAUAAAAAGUUAUAAGACUAUUAAGAAUGUGGAUUUUUGGGUUAUCUUUGGCGCCCCCUAGAACCUAAACCGUGGAGUGCAGCGUCAUGAUUUGUACAACUUUUAAUGGCCAUGGGGUGUAGAUUGGCCUGAGCAAAUUUGGUGGCGGUGGAACUAAAGCCUUCGGAGGAGUUAGCGAAAUUCCAAUGUGUGCGGAUCGGGAAAAAAUGCGAAAUAACCCUUUAACCGUACAUUUUACAGAUACGUGCCCAUUGACUUUUUCGUAGAUCUUAUUGAGAUACACGUGAUUGUCAAAUUUUGGGUCAAUAUGACAAAGCGUAUAGGCGUGACACUCAACAAUGUGUAUUUUCACCUUAGGGGACAAGAAAAAAUUGACUUUUUUCUCCUGCCAUGUGGGGGCGCUCUUUUGGGGAGUAAAAAUUCCUUCACAAAUGUGGUGAUGGCUGGACAUUGCAUCAUCCUAGAGAACUUGGAGGCCAGUGAGGACAAAAAUAAAAAGUUAUAAGACUUUUAAGACUGUGGAUUUUAGGGUUAUCUUUGGCGCCCCCUAGAACGUAAACCGUGGGGUGCAGCGUCAUGAUUUGUACAACUUUUAAUGGCCAUGGGGUGUAGAUUGGCCUGAGCAAAUGUGGUGCCGGUGGAACGAAUGCCUUCGGAGGAGUUAGCGAAAUUCCAAUGUGUGCAGAUCGGCAAAAAUGCGAAAUAACCCUCUAACCAUACAUUUCACAGAUGCGCCCGCGCUGACUUUUUCGUAGACCGUAUUGAGAUACACGUGUGUGUCAAUUUUUGUGUCAAUAUGACAAAGCGUACAGGCGUGACAGUCAAUAGUGUGAAUUUUCGCCUUAGGGGGCGCUAUGGAGCCAUUUUGCAUUUUAUUGUUUGGGCGACUUCAGAAUAUCGAAUUUUUCACCAGGCCCGGUCGUCCUGCCAAAUUUCAUGAGUUUUCGCCAGUGGGAAGUGGGCCAUUUUCCCCUUCAAAGGGGAGGAAAAAUAAGAAGAAAGAAAGAAAGAAAGAAGAAAGACUAGGACCCCGUUGGGGCACUGGCGGGCCCGAGCCGUGUCGCGUCCCCCCCCCCAACGCGCUGCCUCCCCGUCCCAUUUGUGUCCUCUGGCCAUCGCCCUCUCUGGUAACGCCCAUCACUGCAAAGACCCUUUUCUUUCAUCGGCGUUUGCUGUUCUUCCUGCCAGUGCGUGUUGCUUUCACUUACACUUGCCACAGCCAGCCUCGUGAGUGCCUAGCCUAUUGGAUAUCACUGUCACCUACACAGGAGGUGAAUUAAUUAUGUUAAGGUGAAUCUUCACUGCUCAUGUUCUCCUCAGAAGCACUCACCUCACUCCCCUCAGGUUACUGUACACAUGCACCAACUGCCUGCUUCAGGUUUGGAUGGAGCUUCAUGGUUGUCUUUUGGAGAAAUGACCAGUCAAGUUGUGUUUGAAAUUUGAUUUUUUUCAGGGGCAAAAGGAGCCUCUGCAUUCUUGUCAAAUAUGUAAAUAGCAUGUUUUUGCAGGUGCUAAAAACCAGACUCUGAGUGUGUGUGUGUGCGUGUGUGUGUGUGUCUGUGUGUGUGUGUGUGUGUGUGUGUGUGCGUUCAAGUCACAUGACAUAUUUAACCGGAUGUAGCUGCAAGACGGAGCCUCGUUGACUCCGUUUCAACUUAUCUCAAAAGUGAGGACCUCAACCUAUAUACCAGUUUUUAAAUUGUGUUGAUAGGCCAAAUAAAACCAGAGUUAUGAUAAAUUAUGUCCGCGAUACUUGUUUUCUGCUUAUUUUGAUCACGUUCGGCGCUCGAUCGCGCUGUAUGAGACAGGAAAACAUAGCAUGCAGACAUUAGCGACAGGUCUUACAGGCGGAAAAGGCUUGCCAAAGGAAAAAAAAACACACCACAACAUCUCUCCUAUUGGUGGAAAACUUCACCACAACAACCAAUCCAAAAUUAUAUGGUGACUGAUUGACAAGGGGCGGGCGCUUACGUUCUUCCUGCAACAUGAGAAGGGAGGGAGGGACUCUCAGCAGGGAUGCAGUCUGGGACACGUAGUUGCAAACCUAGCGACUUUGUUGUUAGAUUCAAUGACUUUUCAGACCCCCUAACGACUUUUUUUUUUAGAAAGAAAGUGACUUUUAUCGACUUCUUCUGGAGUUUAGAGACUCUGACAUGAAGCAGGCUUUCCUUACUGAGGAGUUAGCAAUGCUGCUAAGGGUGCAGAGCCACACAUGCGCUCCGAGCUCUGCAUGGGAGACUGAAGCUGACAGAGCUGCAGCAGUUAGCAGGUUUCACCCUCAGAGACCACCAGGGGUUCAUGUUGAGGCAUUUUCAGUUUUUUUUUUUUUUUUUUUUUUUGCCAUAGACACUGUCAGCACAAUCUGCAGUUACACUAACAAAAAUGCUGCAAAAAACAAAGAAUUAUGGAAAAAUUACACAUGGACUGACAUAGAGGAGGAUCUACACAAGUUUUUUACAUCAUGUUUUACAUCAUGCAUCAUUUACAUCAUGUUUUUUUGUAGUGGCAUAAAUAAAAAGUGACAUUUGUGAGACUAUACAGUGUUUUGUAAAUAAUUUUACAAAGAACACCUGGGCCAUUGCCUGCAUUUUGAUGUCAAUAGAGGUAAAUUACUAUGUUCUUUGUUAAAAAUUUGCAUAUGUUUUGAAGUUUACAAUUUUUAUUUGAAGUUUAAGUUUUAAAAACAGUUCAUCACACAUAUUUGUGGUUUUCACAGUAAAAACGUUACUUUUUUCCACUCGGAUUUUAUGUUUUGUGUGUGAAUUUGGGUCCAAUGUGUAAAUAUAGUAUGUCAAAAUGAUAAAAUAACUGUAAAUUGACACAGGUGAGGUUGUGCUGAAAAAAAUGAUACCAGGCAAGGCAAGGUAAAAAUUUUGUAAGAGGAAAUAUAAAGGUAAAAUCUAAAGUAGUCAAAAACGGCCAAUAGUGACUCACAGACUCCACAGACAAGUCCCUUUGGCGCCACUCAGUGGGCAAAACUACUUUGUCUACUGUAAUGUAUAUUUGGGUCAUCUUUGGCGCCCCCUAAAACGUAAACCGUGGGGUGCAGCGUCAUGAUUUUUACAACUUUGAAUGGCCAUGGAGUGUAGAUUGGCCUGAGCAAAUUUGGUGUCAGUGGGACGAAAGACUUAGGAGGAGUUAGCGAAAUUCCAAUGUGUGCGAAUCGGCAAUAAAUGCAAAAUAGCCCUUUUACCGUACAUUAUACAGAUACGCGCUCUUUGACUUUUUCGUAGAUCUAAUUGAGAUACACAUGAUUGUCAAUUUUUGUGUCAUUUUGCCAAAGCGUACAGGCGUGACAGUCAACAAUGUGUAUUUUCACCUUAGUGGACAAGAAAAAAUGGACUUUUUUCUCCUGCCAUGGGGGCGCUCUUUUAGGGAGUAAAAAUUCCUUCACAAAUGUGUUGAUGGCUGGACAUUGCAUCAUCCUAGAAAACUUGGAGGCCAGUGAGGACAAAAAUAAAAAGUUAAAAGACUUUUAAAAAUGUGGAUUUUUGGGUUAUCUUUGGUGCCCCCUAGAACGUAAACCGUGGGGUGCAGCGUCAUGAUUUGAAUAACUUUUAAUGGCCAUGGGGUGUAAUUUGGCCUGAGCAAAUGUGGUGCCGGUGGAACGAAAGCCUUCGGAGGAGUUAGCGAAAUUCCAAUGUGUGCGAAUCGGCAAAAAAUGCGGAAUAACCCUUUAACCGUACAUUAGACAGAUACGCGCGCAUGGACUUUUUUGUAGAUCUUAUUGAGAUACAUGUGUGUGUCAAUUUUUGUGUCAUUUUGCCAAAGCGUACAGGCGUGACACUCAACAAUGUGUAUUUUCACCUUAGGGGACAAGAAAAAAUGGACUUUUUUCUCCUGCCAUGGGGGGGCGCUCUUUUGGGGAGUAAAAAUUCCUUCACAAAUGUGUUGAUGGCUGGACAUUGCAUCAUCCUAGAAAACUUGGAGGCCAGUGAGGGCAAAAAUAAAAAGUUAUAAGACUUUUAAAAAUGUGGAUUUUAGGGUUAUCUUUGGCGCCCCCUAGAACCUAAACCGUGGGGUGCAGCGUCAUGAUUUGAAUAACUUUUAAUGGCCAUGGGGUGUAGAUUGGCCUGAGCAAAUGUGGUGCCGGUGGAACGAAAGCCUUCGGAGGAGUUAGCGAAAUUCCAAUGUGUGCGGAUCGGCAAAAAAUGCGAAAUAACCCUUUAACCGUACAUUUGACAGAUACGCCCGCACUGACUUUUUUGUAGAUCUUAUUGAGAUACAUGUGUGUGUCAAUUUUUGUGUCAUUUUGACAAAGCAUACAGGCGUGACAGUCAAUAGUGUGAAUUUUCACCUUAGGGGGCGCUAUGGAGCCAUUUUGCAUUUUCUUGUUUGGGCGACUUCGGAAUAUCAAAUUUUUCACCAGGCCCGGUCGUCCUGCCAAAUUUCAUGAGUUUUCGCCAGUGGGAAGUGGGCCAUUUUCCAGUUCAAAGGGGAGGAAAAAGAAGAAAGAAAGAAACAAAGAAAAACCCCUACAGGAAUAACAGGGCCUACGCCCGGCUGCUCUGCAGCUGGCUCGGGCCCUAAAAAACCUAUACAGGAAUAAUAGGGCUCUACGCCCGGCUGCUCUGCAGCUGGCUCGGGCCCUAACUAGGGCCCCGGUGGGGCACUGUCGGGCCCGAGCCGCGUUGUGCCGCCCCCAGCGUGACCGCCUCCCCCUCCCGAUCGCGUCACACUCAAGGUCCAAAGAUGGUGUGCGCACUUGUCUGUGGUCAUUUCCCAUUAUAAUGAAUGGGAGGCGCAGUUUCUACCAAAACACUCGCUGCAGACAAACUUCAUGUCCUAUUUGAAAAAAGUCUGGACCAUGAGUGAGGGCACAAACACAGCUGGGAUAUAUCCAAAUGGCAGGUUGCUCCUGGAUACGGUGUUGCCUGGAGAGCGAUGCGAUUGAGCCAUUGAGCGAUGGGCAGGAAAAACUUGACUUUUUCUCCUGCCAUGGGGGGGGGGAGAAUGUGGAUUCUUUUAAGAAUGUGGAUUUUUUGGUCAUCUUUGGCGCCCCCUAGAACGUAAACCGUGGGGUGCAGCGUCAUGAUUUUUACAACUUUGAAUGGCCAUGGGGUGUAGAUUGGCCUGAGCAAAUUUAGUUUCAGUGGGACGAAAGCCUUAGGAGGAGUUAGCCACAUUCCAAUGUGUGCGAAUCGGCAAAAAAUGCAAAAUAGCCCUCUAACCGUACAUUUGACAGAUACGCACCCAUUGACUUUUUCGUAGAUCUUAUUGAGAUACACGUGAUUGUCAAAUUUUGUGUCAAUAUGACAAAGCGUACAGGUGUCACACUCAACAAUGUGAAUUUUCACCUUACGGGACAAGAAAAAAUGGACUUUUUUCUCCUGCCAUGGGGGGGCGCUCUUUUAGGGAGUAAAAAUUCCUUCACAAAUGUGUUGAUGGCUGGACAUUGCAUCAUCCUAGAAAACUUGGAGGCCAGUGAGGGCAAAAAUAAAAAGUUAUAAGACUUUUAAAUAUGUGGAUUUUAGGGUUAUCUUUGGCGCCCCCUAGAACCUAAACCGUGGGGUGCAGCGUCAUGAUUUGAAUAACUUUUAAUGGCCAUGGGGUGUAGAUUGGCCUGAGCAAAUGUGGUGCCGGUGGAAAGAAAGCCUUCAGAGGAGUUAGCGAAAUUCCAAUGUGUGCGGAUCUGCAAAAAAUGCGAAAUAACCCUUUAACCGUACAUUUGACAGAUACGCCCGCACUGACUUUUUUGUAGAUCUUAUUGAGAUACAUAUGUGUGUCAAUUUUUGUGUCAUUUUGACAAAGCGUAAAGGCGUGACAGUCAAUAGUGUGAAUUUUCACCUUAGGGGGCGCUAUGGAGCCAUUUUGCAUUUUCUUGUUUGGGCAACUUCGGAAUAUCAAAUUUUUCACCAGGCCCGGUCAUCCUGCCAAAUUUCAUGAGUUUUCGCCAGUGGGAAGUGGGCCAUUUUCCAGUUCAAAGGGGAGGAAAAAGAAGAAAGAAAGAAACAAAGAAAAACCACUUGGGGAAUAAUAGGGCUCUCGCAGCUGCUUAGCAGCUACGCUCGGGCCCUAAAAACCACUUGGGGAAUAAUAGGGCCUACGCCCGGCUGCUCUGCAGCUGGCUCGGGCCCUAAUAAUAACAAAAGAAGGAAACUACAGGAACAAGAGGGCUCUCGCAGCUGCUUAGCAGCUACGCUCGGGCCCUAAAGAAGAAUCCAUCAGGAAUAAUAGGGCUCUCGCAGCUGCUUAGCAGCUACGCUCGGGCCCUAACUAGGGCCCCGGUGGGGCACUGUCGGGCCCGAGCCGCGUCGCGCCGCCCCCAGCGCGACCGCCUCCCCCUCCCGAUUGCAUCACACUCAAGGUCCAAAGAUGGUGUGCGCACUUGUCUGUGGUCAUUUCCCAUUAUAAUGAAUGGGAGGCGCAGUUUCUACCAAAACGGCCGCUGCAGACAAACUACAUGUCCUAUUUGAAAAAAGUCUGGACCAUGAGUGAGGGCACAAACACAGCUAGGAUAUAUCCAAAUGGCAAGUUGCUCCUCCUUACGGUGUUGCCGGGAGAGCGAUGCGAUUGAGCCAUUGAGCGAUGGGCAGGGUUAACUGGACUUUUUCUCCUGCCUUGGGGGGGGGGAUGUGGAUUCUUUUAAGAAUGUGGAUAUUUGGGUCAUCUUUGGCGCCCCCUAGAACGUAAACCAUGGGGUGCAGCGGCAUGAUUUUUACAACUUUGAAUGGCCAUGGGAUGUAGAUCGGCUUGAGCAAAUUUGGUGUCGGUGGGAAGAAAGCCUUAGGAGGAGUUAGCCACAUUCCAAUGUGUGCGAAUCGGCAAAAAAUGCGAAAUAGCCCUUUAACCGUACAUUUUACAGAUACGUGCCCAUUGACUUUUUCGUAGAUCUUAUUGAGAUACACGUGUGUGUCAAAUUUUGUGUCAUUUUGACAAAGCGUAUAGGCGUGACAGUCAACAAUGUGUUUUUUCACCUUAGGGGACAAGAAAAAAUGGACUUUUUUCUCCUGCCAUGGGGGGGCGCCCUUUUCGGGAGUAAAAAUUCCUUUACAAAUGUGUUGAUGGCUGGACAUUGCAUCAUCCUAGAAAACUUGGAGGCCAGUGAGGACAAAAAUAAAAAGUUAUAAGACUAUUAAGAAUGUGGAUUUUGGGUUAUCUUUGGCGCCCCCUAGAACCUAAACCGUGGGGUGCAGCGUCAUGAUUUGUACAACUUUUAAUGGCCAUGGGGUGUAGAUUGGCCUGCGCAAAUGUGGUGCCGGUCGAACUAAAGCCUUCGGAGGAGUUAGCGAAAUUCCAAUGUGUGCAGAUCUGCAAAAAAUGCAAAAUAACCCAUUAACCGUACAUUUGACAGAUACGCCCGCACUGACUUUCUUGUAGAUCUUAUUGAGAUACAUGUGUGUGUCAAUUUUUGUGUCAAUAUGACAAAGCGUACAGCCGUCAUGUGAAUUUUCACCUUAGGGGGCGCUAUGGAGCCAUUUUGCAUUUUAUUGUUUGGGCGACUUCAGAAUAUCGAAUUUUUCACCAGGCCCGGUCGUCCUGCCAAAUUUCCUGAGUUUUCGCCAGUGGGAAGUGGGCCAUUUUCCAGUUUAAAGCGGAGGAAAAAUAAUAACGAAAGAAGGAAACAUGCAGGAACAAGAGGGCUCUCGCAGCUGCUUAGCAGCUACGCUCGGGCCCUAAAGAAAGAAACAAAGACUAGGGCCCCGGUGGGGCACUGUCGGGCCCGAGCGGCGUCGCGCCGCCCCCAGCGCGACCGCCUCCCCCUCCCGAUCGCGUCACACUCAAGGUCCAAAGAUGGUGUGCGCACUUGUCUGUGGUCAUUUACCAUUAUAAUGAAUGGGAGGCACAGUUUCUACCAAAACACUCGCUGCAGACAAACUUCAUGUCCUAUUUGAAAAAAGUCUGGACCAUGAGUGAGGGCACAAACACAGCUAGGAUAUAUCCAAAUGGCAGGUUGCUCCUCCUUACGGUGUUGCCUGGAGAGCGCUGGAUUGAGCCAUUGAGCGAUGGGCAGGAAAAACUUGACUUUUUCUUCUGCCUUGGGGGGGGUGUGUGUGGAUUCUUUUAAGAAUGUGGAUAUUUGGGUCAUCUUUGGCGCCCCCUAGAACGUAAACCGUGGGGUGCAGCGUCAUGAUUUUUACAACUUUGAAUGGCCAUGGGAUGUAGAUCGGCUUGAGCAAAUUUGGUGUCGGUGGGACGAAAGCCUUAGGAGGAGUUAGCCACAUUCCAAUGUGUGCGAAUCGGCAAAAAAUGCAAAAUAGCCCUUUAACCGUACAUUUGACAGAUACGCGCCCAUUGACUUUUUCGUAGAUCUUAUUGAGAUACACGUGAUUGUCAAAUUUUGUGUCAAUAUGACAAAGCGUACAGGUGUCACACUCAACAAUGUGAAUUUUCACCUUAGGGGACAAGAAAAAAUGGACUUUUUUCUCCUGCCAUGGGGGGGCGCUCUUUUGGGGAGUAAAAAAUCCUUCACAAAUGUGUUGAUGGCUGGACAUUGCAUCAUCCUAGAAAACUUGGAGGCCAGUGAGGACAAAAAUAAAAAGUUAUAAGACUUUGAAAUAUGUGGAUUUUAGGGUUAUCUUUGGCGCCCCCUAGAACCUAAACCGUGGGGUGCAGCGUCAUGAUUUGAAUAACUUUGAAUGGCCAUGGGGUGUAGAUUGGCCUGAGCAAAUGUGAUGCCAGUGGAACGAAAGCCUUCGGAGGAGUUAGCGAAAUUCCAAUGUGUGCGGAUCAACAAAAAAUGCGGAAUAACCCUUUAACCAUACAUUUGACAGAUACGCGCGCAUUGACUUUUUCGUAGAUCUUAUUGAGAUACAUGUGUGUGUCAAUUUUUGUGUCAAUAUGAUAAAGCGUACAGGCGUGACAGUCAAUAGUGUCAAUUUCCACCUUAGGGGACAAGAAAAAAUUGACUUUUUUCUCCUGCCAUGGGGGGGCGCUCUUUUGGGGAGUAAAAAUUCCUUCACAAAUGUGUUGAUGGCUGGACAUUGCAUCAUCCUAGAAAACUUGGAGGCCAGUGAGGACAAAAAUAAAAAGUUAUAAGACUUUUAAAUAUGUGGAUUUUAGGAAUAUCUUUGGCGCCCCCUAGAACCUAAACCGUGGGGUGCAGCGUCAUGAUUUGAAUAACUUUUAAUGGCCAUGGGGUGUAGAUUGGCCUGAGCAAAUGUGGUGCCGGUGGAACGAAAGCCUUCGGAGGAGUUAGCGAAAUUCCAAUGUGUGCGGAUCGGCAAAAAAUGCGGAAUAACCCUUUAACUGUAUAUUUGACAGAUACGCGCGCAUUGACUUUUUCGUAGAUCUUAUUGAGAUACAUGUGUGUGUCAAUUUUUGUGUCAUCUUGCCAAAGCGUACAGGUGUUACACUCAACAAUGUGUAUUUUCACCUUAGGGGACAAGAAAAAAUGGACUUUUUUCUCCUGCCAUGGGGGGGCGCUCUUUUGGGGAGUAAAAAUUCCUUCACAAAUGUGUUGAUGGCUGGACAUUGCAUCAUCCUAGAAAACUUGGAGGCCAGUGAGGGCAAAAAUAAAAAGUUAUAAGACUUUUAAAUAUGUGGAUCUUAGGGUUAUCUUUGGCGCCCCCUAGAACCUAAACCGUGGGGUGCAGCGUCAUGAUUUGAAUAACUUUUAAUGGCCAUGGGGUGUAGAUUGGCCUGAGCAAAUGUGGUGCCGGUGGAACGAAAGCCUUCGGAGGAGUUAGCGAAAUUCCAAUGUGUGCGGAUCGGCAAAAAAUGCGAAAUAACCCUUUAACCGUACAUUUGACAGAUACGCCCGCACUGACUUUUUUGUAGAUCUUAUUGAGAUACAUGUGUGUGUCAAUUUUUGUGUCAUUUUGACAAAGCGUACAGGCGUCAGGUGAAUUUUUCACCUUAGGGGGCGCUAUGGAGCCAUUUUGCAUUGUAUUGUUUGGGCGACUUCAGAAUAUCAAAUUUUUCACCAGGCCCGGUCGUCCUGCCAAAUUUCAUGAGUUUUCGCCAGUGGGAAGUGGGCCAUUUUCCAGUUGACCACAGACAAGUGCGCACACCAUCUUUGGACCUUGAGUGUGACGCGAUCGGGAGGGGGAGGCGGUCGCGCUGGGGGCGGCGCGACGCCGCUCGGGCCCGACAGUGCCCCACCGGGGCCCUAGUUAGGGCCCGAGCCAGCUGCAGAGCAGCCGGGCGUAGGCCCUAUUAUUCCCCAAGUGGUUUUUCUUUGUUUCUUUCUUUCUUUUUAGGGCCCGAGCGUAGCUGCUAAGCAGCUGCGAGGCCCUAUUAUUCCUGUAGUGGUUUUUAGGGCCCGAGCGUAGCUGCUAAGCAGCUGCGAGAGCCCUAUUAUUCCUGAUGGAUUCUUCUUUCUUCUUCUUCUUCUUAUUAUUUUUCUGCCCAUUUGAACUGGAAAAUGGCCCACUUCCCACUGGUGAAAACUCAUGAAAUUUGGCAGGACGACUGGGCCUGGUGAAAAAUUCGAUAUUCUGAAGUCACCCAAACAAUCAAAUGCAAAAUGGCUCCAUAGCGCCCCCUAAGGUGAAAAAUUCACAUGAUUGAGUGUCACGCCUGUACGCUUUGUCAAAAUGACACAAAAUUUGACACACACGUGUAUCUCAAUAAGAUCUACAAAAAAGUCAGUGCGGGCGUAUCUGUCAAAUGUACGGUUAAAGGGCUAUUUCGCAUUUUUUGCCGAUCCGCACACAUUGGAAUUUCGCUAACUCCUCCGAAGGCUUUCGUUCCACCGGCACCAAAUUUGCUCAGGCCAAUCUACACCCCAUGGCCAUUCAAAGUUGUACAAAUCAUGACGCUGCCCCCCACGGUUUACGUUGUAGGGGGCGCCAAAGAUAACCCAAAAAUCCACAUUCUUACAAGUCUUAUAACUUUUUAUUUCUGUCCUCACUGGCCUCCAAGUUUUCUAGGAUGAUGCAAUGUCCAGCCAUCAACACAUUUGUGAAGGAAUUUUUACUCCCCAAAAGAGCGCCCCCCCAUGGCAGAAGAAAAAAGGCCAUUUUUUCUUGUCCUAUAAGGUGAAAAUACACAUUGUUGAGUGUCACGCCUGUACGCUUUGUCAUAUUGAAACAAAAUUUGAUAAUCACGUGUAUCUCAAUAAGAUCUACGAAAGAGUCAAUGCGCACGUGUCUGCAAAAUGUACGGUUAAAGGGCUAUUUCGCAUUUUUGGUUGAUUCGCACACAUUGGAAUGUGGCUAACUCCUCCUAAAGCUUUCGUUCCACCGGCACCAAAUUUGCUUAGGCCAAUCUACACCCCAUGGCCAUUCAAAGUUGUACAAAUCAUGUCGCUGCACCCCACGGUUUACCUUGUAGGGGGCGCCAAAGAUAACCCAAAAAUCCACAUUCUUACAAGUUAUAACUUUUUAUUUCUGUCCUCACUGGCCUCCAAGUUUUCUAGGAUGAUGCAAUGUCCAGCCAUCAACACAUUUGUGAAGGAAUUUUUACUCGCCAAAAGAGCGCCCCCCCAUGGCAGGAGAAAAAAGUCCAUUUUUUCUUGUCUCCUAAGGCGAAAAUUCACACUAUUGACUGUCACACCUUUACGCUUUGUCAAAAUGACACAAAAUUUGACACACACAUGUAUCUCAAUAAGAUCUACAAAAAAGUCAGUGCGGGCGUAUCUGUCAAAUGUACGGUUAAAGGGUUAUUUCGCAUUUUUUGCCGAUCCGCACACAUUGGAAUUUCGCUAACUCCUCCGAAGGCUUUCGUUCCACCGGCACCACAUUUGCUCAGGCCAAUCUACACCCCAUGGCCAUUAAAAGUUGUACAAAUCAUGAUGCUGCACCCCACGGUUUACGUUCUAGGGGGCGCCAAAGAUAACCCAAAUAUCCACAGUCUUAAAAGUCUUAUAACUUUUUAUUUUUGUCCUCACUGGCCUCCAAGUUCUCUAGGAUGAUGCAAUGUCCAGCCAUCAACACAUUUGUGAAGGAAUUUUUACUCGCCAAAAGAGCGCCCCCCAUGGCAGGAGAAAAAAGUCCAUUUUUUCUUGUCUCCUAAGGCGAAAAUACACAUUGUUGACUGUCACGCCUUUACGCUUUGUCAAAAUGACACAAAAUUUGACACACACAUGUAUCUCAAUAAGAUCUACGAAAAAGUCAAUGCGAGCGUAUCUGUUCAAUGUACGGUUAAAGGGCUAUUUCGCAUUUUUUGCCGAUUCGCACACAUUGGAAUGUGGCUAACUCCUCCUAAAGCUUUUGUCCCAUCGGCUUCAAAUUUGCUCAGGUCAAUCUACACCCCAUGUCCAUUCAAAGUUGUACAAAUCAUGACGCUGCACCCCACGGUUUACGUUCUAGGGGGCGCCAAAGAUAACCCAAAAAUCCACAGUCUUAAAAGUCUUAUAACUUUUUAUUUUUGUCCUCACUGGCCUCCAAGUUCUCUAGGAUGAUGCAAUGUCCAGCCAUCAACACAUUUGUGAAGGAAUUUUUACUCCCCAAAAGAGCGCCCCCCCAUGGCAGGAGAAAAAGUCAAGUUUUUCCUGCCCAUCGCUCAAUGGCUCAAACGCAUCGCUCUCUCGGCAAAACCGAAAGGAGGAGCAACUUGCCAUUUGGAUAUAUACUAGCUGUGUUUGUGCCCUCACUCAUGGUCCAGACUUUUUUCAAAAAGGACAUGGAGUUUGUCUGCAGCGAGCGUUUUGGUAGAAACUGCGCCUCCCAUUCAUUAUAAUGGUAAAUGACCACAGACAAGUGCGCACACCAUCUUUGGACCUUGAGUGUGACGCAAUCGGGAGGGGUAGGCGGUCGCGCUGGGGGUGGCGCGACACGGCUCGGGCCCGCCAGUGCCCCAACGGGGCCCUAGUUCUUUGUUUCUUUUUUCUUUUUCCUCCCCUUUGACCUGGAAAAUGGCCCACUUCCCACUGGCGAAAACUCAUGAAAUUUGGCAGGACGACCGGGCCUGGUGAAAAAUUUGAUAUUCCGAAGUCGCCCAAACAAGAAAAUGCAAAAUGGCUCCAUAGCGCCCCCUAAGGUGAAAAUUCACACUAUUGACUGUCACGCCUGUACGCUUUGUCAAAAUGACACAAAAAUUGACACACACAUGUAUCUCAAUAAGAUCUACAAAAAAGUCAGUGCGGCCGUAUCUGUCAAAUGUACGGUCAAAGGGUUAUUUCGCAUUUUUUGCCGAUCCGCACACAUUGGAAUUUCGCUAACUCCUCCGAAGGCUUUCGUUCCACCGGCACCACAUUUGCUCAGGCCAAUCUACACCCCGUGGCCAUUAAAAGUUAUCAAAAUCAUGACGCUGCACCCCAAGGUUUAGGUUCUAGGGGGCGCCAAAGAUAACACUAAAAUCCACAUAUUUAAAAGUCUUAUAACUUUUUAUUUUUGUCCUCACUGGCCUCCAAGUUUUCUAGGAUGAUGCAAUGUCCAGCCAUCAACACAUUUGUGAAGGAAUUUUUACUCCCCAAAAGAGCGCCCCCCCAUGGCAGGAGAAAAAAGUCCAUUUUUUCUUGUCCCCUAAGGUGAAAAUACACAUUGUUGAGUGUCACGCCUAUACGCUUUGUCAAAAUGACACAAAAAUUGACACACAUAUGUAUCUCAAUAAGAUCUACAAAAAAGUCGAUGCGGCCGUAUCUGUCAAAUGUACGGUCAAAGGGUUAUUUCGCAUUUUUUGCCGAUCCGCACACAUUGGAAUUUCGCUAACUCCUCCGAAGGCUUUCGUUCCACCGGCACCACAUUUGCUCAGGCCAAUCUACACCCCGUGGCCAUUAAAAGUUAUCAAAAUCAUGACGCUGCACCCCAAGGUUUAGGUUCUAGGGGGCGCCAAAGGUAACACUAAAAUCCACAUAUUUAAAAGUCUUAUAACUUUUUAUUUUUGUCCUCACUGGCCUCCAAGUUUUCUAGGAUGAUGCAAUGUCCAGCCAUCAACACAUUUGUGAAGGAAUUUUUACUCCCCAAAAGAGCGCCCCCCCAUGGCAGGAGAAAAAAGUCAAUUUUUUCUUGUCCCCUAAGGUGAAAAUACACAUUGUUGAGUGUCACGCCUAUACGCUUUGUCAAAAUGACACAAAAAUUGACACACACAUGUAACUCAAUAAGAUCUACGAAAAAGUCAAUGCGCGCGUAUCUGUCAAAUGUACGGUUAAAGGGUUAUUCCGCAUUUUUUGCCGAUCCGCACACAUUGGAAUGUGGCUAACUCCUCCUAAGGCUUUCGUUCCACCGGCACCACAUUUGCUCAGGACAAUCUACACCCCAUGGCCAUUAAAAGUUAUUCAAAUCAUGACGCUGCACCCCACGGUUUAGGUUCUAGGGGGCGCCAAAGACCCUAAAAUCCACAUAUUUAAAAGUCUUAUAACUUUUUAUUUUUGUCCUCACUGGCCUCCAAGUUUUUUAGUUUUCUAGGAUGAUGCAAUGUCCAGCCAUCAACACAUUUGUGAAGGAAUUUUUACUCCCCAAAAGAGCGCCCCCCCAUGGCAGGAGAAAAAAGUCCAUUUUUUCUUGUCCCCUAAGGUGAAAAUACAUAUUGUUGAGAUUCACGCCUAUACGCUUUGUCAUAUUGACACAAAAUUUGACAAUCACGUGCCUUGCCUGGUAUCAUUUUUUCAGCACAACCUCACCUGUGCGAAUUUACAGUUAUUUUAUCAUGUUGACAUACUGAAUUUACACAAUGGACCCAAAUUCACACACAAAACAUAAAAUCCGAGUGGAAAAAAGUAACAUUUUUACUGUGAAAACCACAAAUAUGUGUGAUGAACUGUUUUUAAAACUUAAACUUCAAAUAAAAAUUGUAAACUUCAAAACAUAUGCAAAUUUUUAACAAAGAACAUAGUGAUUUACCUCUAUUUACAUCAAAAUGCAGGCAAUGGCCCAGGCGUUCUUUGUAAAAUUAUUUACAAAACACUGUAUAGUCUCACAAAUGUCACUUUUUAUUUAUGCCACUACAAAAAAACAUGAUGUAAAUGAUGCAUGAUGUAAAACAUGAUGUAAAAAACUUGUGUAGAUCCUCCUCUAUGUCAGUCCAUGUGUAAUUUUUCCAUAAUUCUUUGUUUUUUGCAGCAUUUUUGUUAGUGUAACUGCAGAUUGUGCUGACAGUGUCUAUGGCACAAAAAAAAAAAAAUUUAAAAUGCCUCAACAUGAACCCCUGGUGGUCUCUGAGGGUGAAACCUGCUAACGGCUGCAGCUCUGUCAGCUUCAGUCUCCCAUGCAGAGCUCUGAGCGCAUGUGUGGCUCUGCACCCUUAGCAGCGUUGCUAACUCCUCAGUAAGGAAAGCCUGCUUCAUGUCAGAGUCUCUAAACUCCAGAAGAAGUCGAUAAAAGUCCCUUUCUUUCUAAAAAAAAGUCGUUAGGGGGUCUGAAAAGUCAUUGAAUCUAACAACAAAGUCGCUAGGUUUGCAACUACGUGUCCCAGACUGCAUCCCUGCUGAGAGUCCCUCCCUCCCUUCUCAUGUUGCAGGAAGAACGUAAGCGCCCGCCCCUUGUCAAUCAGUCACCAUAUAAUUUUGGAUUGGUUGUUGUGGUGAAGUUUUCCACCAAUAGGAGAGAUGUUGUGGUGUGUUUUUUUUUUCUUUUGGCAAGCCUUUUCCGCCUGUAAGACCUGUCGCUAAUGUCUGCAUGCUAUGUUUUCCUGUCUCAUACAGCGCGAUCGAGCGCCGAACGUGAUCAAAAUAAGCAGAAAAAAAGUAUCGCGGACAUAAUUUAUCAUAACUCUGGUUUUAUUUGGCCUAUCAACACAAUUUAAAAACUGGUAUAUAGGUUGAGGUCCUCACUUUUGAGAUAAGUUGAAACGGAGAGUCAACGAGGCUCCGUCUUGCAGCUACAUCCGAUUAAAUAUGUCAUGUGACUUGAACGCACACACAGACACACACACACGCACACACACACACACACACACACACACACACACUCAGAGUCUGGUUUUUAGCACCUGCAAAAACAUGCUAUUUACAUAUUUGACAAGAAUGCAGAGGCUCCUUUUGCCCCUGAAAAAAAUCAAAUUUCAAACACAACUUGACUGGUCAUUUCUCCAAAAGACAACCAUGAAGCUCCAUCCAAACCUGAAGCAGGCAGUUGGUGCAUGUGUACAGUAACCUGAGGGGAGUGAGGUGAGUGCUUCUGAGGAGAACAUGAGCAGUGAAGAUUCACCUUGGAGCUAGAACAGAGACAUGCACAUGAUUAUACAGGGGCAGGGGCUCAAGUUUUUUCCAGUCGUUUAUACAAUAUGGAAAUUAAUGUGAAAUUAAAACACAAAGUAUUAAUAGAAAGGUAAUGACUGUCCUGUGUAGGUGACAGUGAUAUCCAAUAGGCUAGGCACUCACGAGGCUGGCUGUGGCAAGUGUAAGUGAAAGCAACACGCACUGGCAGGAAGAACAGCAAACGCCGAUGAAGGAAAAGGGUCUUUGCAGUGAUGGGCGUUACCAGAGAGGGCGAUGGCCAGAGGACACAAAUGGGACGGGGAGGCAGCAUGUUGGGGGGUGGGGGGGUGGGGGGGGGGGGGGGACGCGACACGGCUCGGGCCCGCCAGUGCCCCAACGGGGUCCUAGUUAUUAUUAUUAUUUUUCCUCCGCUUUAAACUGGAAAAUGGCCCACUUCCCACUGGCGAAAACUCAGGAAAUUUGGCAGGACGACCGGGCCUGGUGAAAAAUUCGAUAUUCUGAAGUCGCCCAAACAAUAAAAUACAAAAUGGCUCCAUAGCGCCCCCUAAGGUGAAAAUUCACACUAUUGACUGUCACGUCUGUACGCUUUGUCAUAUUGACACAAAAAUUGACACACACAUGUAUCUCAAUAAGAUCUACAAAAAAGUCAGUGCGGGCGUAUCUGUCAAAUGUACGGUUAAAGGGUUAUUUCGCAUUUUUUGCAGAUCCGCACACAUUGGAAUUUCGCUAACUCCUCCGAAGGCUUUCGGUCCACCGGCACCACAUUUGCUCAGGCCAAUCUACACUCCAUGGCCAUUCAAAGUUGUACAAAUCAUGAUGCUGCACCCCAUGGUUUAGGUUCUAGGGGGCGCCAAAAAUAACCCUAAAAUCCACAUUCUUAAAAGUUUUAUAACUUUUUAUUUUUGCCCUCACUGGCCUCCAAGUUUUCUAGGAUGAUGCAAUGUCCAGCCAUCAACACAUUUGUGAAGGAAUUUUUACUCCCCAAAAGAGCGCCCCCCCAUGGCAGGACAAAAAAGUCAAUUUUUUCUUGUCCCCUAAGGUGAAAAUACACAUUGUUGAAUGUCACGCCUGUACGCUUUGUCAUAUUGACAAAAAAUUUGACAAUCACGUGUAUCUCAAUAAGAUCUACGAAAAAGUCAAUGCAGGCGUAUCUGUCAAAUGUACGGUUAAAGGGCUAUUUCGCAUUUUUUGCCGAUUCGCACACAUUGGAAUGUGGCUAACUCCUCCUAAGGCUUUCGUCCCACUGACACCAAAUUUGCUCAGGCCAAUCUACACCCCAUGGCCAUUCAAAGUUGUAAAAAUCAUGACGCUGCACCCUAUGGUCUACGUUCUAGGGGGCGCCAAAGAGGACCCAAAUAUCCACAUUUUUAAAGUCUUAUAACUUUUUAUUUUUGUCCUCACUGGCCUCCAAGUUUUCUAGGAUGAUGCAAUGUCCAGCCAUCAACACAUUUGUGAAGGAAUUUUUUCUCCCCAAAAGAGCGCCCCCCCAUGGCAGGAGAAAAAGUCAAGUUUUUCCUGCCCAUCGCUCAAUGGCUCAAACGCAUCGCUCUCUCGGCAAAACCGAAAGGAGGAGCAACUUGCCAUUUGGAUAUAUACUAGCUGUGUUUGUGCCCUCACUCAUGGUCCAGACUUUUUUCAAAAAGGACAUGGAGUUUGUCUGCAGCGAGCGUUUUGGUAGAAACUGCGCCUCCCAUUCAUUAUAAUGGUAAAUGACCACAGACAAGUGCGCACACCAUCUUUGGACCUUGAGUGUGACGCGAUCGGGAGGGGGAGGCGGUCGCGCUGGGGGCGGCGUGACACGGCUCGGGCCCGCCAGUGCCCCACCGGGGCCCUAGUCUUCUUAUUAUUUUUCUGCCCCUUUGAACUGGAAAAUGGCCCACUUCCCACUGGUGAAAAGUCAUGAAAUUUGGCAGGACGACCGGGCCUGGUGAAAAAUUCGAUAUUCUGAAGUCGCCCAAAAAAUCAAAUGCAAAAUGGCUCCAUAGCGCCCCCUAAGGUGAAAAAUUCACAUGAUUGAGUGUCACGCCUGUACGCUUUGUCAAAAUGACACAAAAUUUGACACACACGUGUAUCUCAAUAAGAUCUACAAAAAAGUCAGUGCGGGCGUAUCUGUCAAAUGUACGGUUAAAGGGCUAUUUCGCAUUUUUUGCCGAUCCGCACACAUUGGAAUUUCGCUAACUCCUCCGAAGGCUUUCGUUCCACCGGCACCAAAUUUGCUCAGGCCAAUCUACACCCCAUGGCCAUUAAAAGUUGUACAAAUCAUGACGCUGCAUCCCACGGUUUACGUUCUAGGGGGCGCCAAAGAUAACCCAGAAAUCCACAUUCUUAAAAGUCGUAUAACUUUUUAUUUUUGUCCUCACUGGCCUCCAAGUUUUCUAGGAUGAUGCAAUGUCUAGCCAUCAACACAUUUGUGAAGGAAUUUUUACUCCCCAAAAGAGCGCCCCCCCAUGGCAGGAGAAAAAAGUCCAGUUUUUCUUCCCCCUAAGGUGAAAAUUCACAUUAUUGAGUGUCACGCCUGUACGCUUUGUCAUAUUGUAACAAACUUUGACAAUCACGUGUUUCUCAAUAAGAUCUACGAAAUAGUCAAUGGGCGCGUAUCUGUAAAAUGUACGGUUAAAGGGCUAUUUCGCAUUUUUGGUCGAUUCGCACACAUUGGAAUGUGGCUAACUCCUCCUAAAUAUUUCGUUCCACUGACACCAAAUUUACUCAGGCCAAUCUACAUUCCAUGGCCAUUCAAAGUUGUAAAAAUCAUGACGCUGCACCCCACGGUUUAUGUUCUAGGGGGCGCCAAAGAUAACCCAAAAAUCCACAUUCUUAAAAGUCUUAUAACUUUUUAUUUUUGUCCUCACUGGCCUCCAAGUUUUCUAGGAUGAUGCAAUGUCUAGCCAUCAACACAUUUGUGAAGGAAUUUUUACUCCCUAAAAGAGCGCCCCCCCAUGGCAGGAGAAAAAGUCAAGUUUUUCCUGCCCAUCGCUCAAUGACUCAAACACAUCGCUCUCUCGGCAAAACCGAAAGGAGGAGCAACUUGCCAUUUGGAUAUAUCCUAGCUGUGUUUGUGCCCUCACUCAUGGUCCAGUCCUUUUCAAAUAGGACAUGGAGUUUGUCUGCGGCGAGCGUUUUGGUAGAAACUGCGCCUCCCAUUCAUUAUAAUUGUAAAUGACCACAGACAAGUGCGCACACCAUCUUUGGACCUUGAGUGUGACGCGAUCGGUAGGGAGAGGCGGUCGUGUUGGGGGCGGCGCGACACGGCUCGGGCCCGCCAGUGCCCCAACGGGGCCCUAGUUAUUAUUUUUCUGCCCCUUUGAACUGGAAAAUGGCCCACUUCCCACUGGUGAAAACUCAUGAAAUUUGGCAGGACGACCGGGCCUGGUGAAAAAUUCGAUAUUCUGAAGUCGCCCAAACAAUCAAAUUCAAAAUGGCUCCAUAGCGCCCCCUAAGGUGAAAAAUUCACAUGAUUGAGUGUCACACCUGUACGCUUUGUCAAAAUGACACAAAAUUUGACACACACGUGUAUCUCAAUAAGAUCUACAAAAAAGUCAGUGCGGGCGUAUCUGUCAAAUGUACGGUUAAAGGGCUAUUUCGCAUUUUUUGCCGAUCCGCACACAGUGGAAUUUCGCUAACUCCUCCGAAGGCUUUCGUUCCACCGGCACCACAUUUGCUCAGGCCAAUCUACACCCCAUGGCCAUUCAAAGUUGUACAAAUCAUGACGCUGCACCCCACGGUUUACGUUCUAGGGGGCGCCAAAGAUAACCCAAAAAUCCACAUUCUUAAAAGUCUAAUAACUUUUUAUUUUUGCCCUCACUGGCCUCCAAGUUUUCUAGGAUGAUGCAAUGACCAGCCAUCAACACAUUUGUGAAGGAAUUUUUACUCCCCAAAAGAGCGCCCCCCCAUGGCAGGAGAAAAAAGUCCAUUUUUUCUUGUCCCCUAAGGUGAAAAUACAUAUUGUUGAGUGUCACGCCUAUACGCUUUGUCAUAUUGACAUAAAAUUUGACACACACGUGUAUCUCAAUAAGAUCUACAAAAAAGUAUAUGCGCACGUAUCUGUCAAAUGUACGGUUAAAGGGCUAUUUUGCAUUUUUUGCGGAACCGCACACAUUGGAAUUUCGCUAACUCCUCCGAAGGCUUUCGUUCCACCGGCACCACAUUUGCUCAGGCCAAUCUACACCCCAUGGCCAUUAAAAGUUGUACAAAUCAUGACGCUGCACCCCACGGUUUACGUUCUAGGGGGCGCCAAAAAUAACCCAAAAAUCCACAGUCUUAAAAGUCUUAUAACUUUUUAUUUUUGUCCUCACUGGCCUCCAAGUUUUCUAGGAUGAUGCAAUGUCCAGCCAUCAACACAUUUGUGAAGGAAUUUUUACUCCCCAAAAGAGCGCCCCCCAUGGCAGGAGAAAAAAGUCCAUUUUUUCUUGUCCCAUAAGGUGAAAAUACACAUUGUUGAGUGUCACGCCUGUACGCUUUGUCAUAUUGAAACAAAAUUUGACAAUCACGUGUAUCUCAAUAAGAUCUACGAAAAAGUCAAUGCGCACGUAUCUGUAAAAUGUACGGUUAAAGGGCUAUUACGCAUUUUUGAUCGAUUCGCACACAUUGGAAUGUGGCUAACCCCUCCUAAAGCUUUCGUUCCACCGGCACCACAUUUGCUCAGGCCAAUCUACACCCCAUGGCCAUUAAAAGUUGUACAAAUCAUGACGCUGCACCCCACGGUUUACGUUCUAGGGGGCGCCAAAGAUAACCCAAAUAUCCACAUUCUUAAAAGUCUUAUAACUUUUCAUUUUUGUCCUCACUGGCUUCCAAGUUUUCUAGGAUGAUGCAAUGUCUAGCCAUCAACACAUUUGUGAAGGAAUUUUUACUCCCCAAAAGAGCGCCCCCCCCAUGGCAGGAGAAAAAGUCAAGUUUUUCCUGCCCAUCGCUCAAUGGCUCAAACACAUGUCAUGUGUUCAAACUCCUCCGAAAGGAGGAGCAACUUGCCAUUUGGAUAUAUCCUAGCUGUGUUUGUGCCCUCACUCAUGGAUCAGACUUUUUUCAAAUAGGACAUGUAGUUUGUCUGCAGCGAGUGUUUUGGUAGAAACUGCGCCUCCCAUUCAUUAUAAUGGGAAAUGACCACAGACAAGUGCGCACACCAUCUUUGGACCUUGAGUGUGACGCGAUCGGGAGGGGGAGGCGGUCGCGCUGGGGGCGGCGCAACGCGGCUCGGGCCCGACAGUGCCCCACCGGGGCCCUAGUCUUAUUAUUAUUAUUUUUCUGCCCCUUUGAACUGGAAAAUGGCCCACUUCCCACUGGUGAAAACUCAUGAAAUUUGGCAGGACGACCGGGCCUGGUGAAAAAUUCGAUAUUCUGAAGUCACCCAAACAAUCAAAUGCAAAAUGGCUCCAUAGCGCCCCCUAAGGUGAAAAAUUCACAUGAUUGAGUGUCACGCCUGUACGUUUUGUCAAAAUGACACAAAAUUUGACACACACGUGUAUCUCAAUCAGAUCUACAAAAAAGUCAGUGCGGGAGAAUCUGUCAAAUGUACGUUUAAAGGGCUAUUUCGCAUUUUUUGCCGAUCCGCACACAUUGGAAUUUCGCUAACUCCUCCGAAGGCUUUCGUUCCACCGGCACCAAAUUUGCUCAGGCCAAUCUACACCCCAUGGCCAUUCAAAGUUGUACAAAUCAUGACGCUGCACCCCACGGUUUACGUUGUAGGGGGCGCCAAAGAUAACCCAAAAAUCCACAUUCUUACAAGUCUUAUAACUUUUUAUUUCUGUCCUCACUGGCCUCCAAGUUUUCUAGGAUGAUGCAAUGUCCAGCCAUCAACACAUUUGUGAAGGAAUUUUUACUCCCCAAAAGAGCGCCCCCCCAUGGCAGGAGAAAAAAGGCCAUUUUUUCUUGUCCUAUAAGGUGAAAAUACACAUUGUUGAGUGUCACGCCUGUACGCUUUGUCAUAUUGAAACAAAAUUUGAUAAUCACGUGUAUCUCAAUAAGAUCUACGAAAAAGUCAAUGCGCACGUGUCUGCAAAAUGUACGGUUAAAGGGCUAUUUCGCAUUUUUGGUUGAUUCGCACACAUUGGAAUGUGGCUAACUCCUCCUAAAGCUUUCGUUCCACCGGCACCAAAUUUGCUCAGGCCAAUCUACACCCCAUGGCCAUUCAAAGUUGUACAAAUCAUGACGCUGCACCCCACGGUUUACGUUGUAGGGGGCGCCAAAGAUAACCCAAAAAUCCACAUUCUUACAAGUCUUAUAACUUUUUAUUUCUGUCCUCACUGGCCUCCAAGUUUUCUAGGAUGAUGCAAUGUCCAGCCAUCAACACAUUUGUGAAGGAAUUUUUACUCCCCAAAAGAGCGCCCCCCCAUGGCAGGAGAAAAAAGGCCAUUUUUUCUUGUCCUAUAAGGUGAAAAUACACAUUGUUGAGUGUCACGCCUGUACGCUUUGUCAUAUUGAAACAAAAUUUGAUAAUCACGUGUAUCUCAAUAAGAUCUACGAAAAAGUCAAUGCGCACGUGUCUGCAAAAUGUACGGUUAAAGGGCUAUUUCGCAUUUUUGGUUGAUUCGCACACAUUGGAAUGUGGCUAACUCCUCCUAAAGCUUUCGUUCCACCGGCACCAAAUUUGCUCAGGCCAAUCUACACCCCAUGGCCAUUCAAAGUUGUACAAAUCAUGACGCUGCACCCCACGGUUUACGUUGUAGGGGGCGCCAAAGAUAACCCAAAAAUCCACAUUCUUACAAGUCUUAUAACUUUUUAUUUCUGUCCUCACUGGCCUCCAAGUUUUCUAGGAUGAUGCAAUGUCCAGCCAUCAACACAUUUGUGAAGGAAUUUUUACUCCCCAAAAGAGCGCCCCCCCAUGGCAGGAGAAAAAAGGCCAUUUUUUCUUGUCCUAUAAGGUGAAAAUACACAUUGUUGAGUGUCACGCCUGUACGCUUUGUCAUAUUGAAACAAAAUUUGAUAAACACGUGUAUCUCAAUAAGAUCUACGAAAAAGUCAAUGCGCACGUGUCUGCAAAAUGUACGGUUAAAGGGCUAUUUCGCAUUUUUGGUUGAUUCGCUCACAUUGGAAUGUGGCUAACUCCUCCUAAAGCUUUCGUUCCACCGGCACCAAAUUUGCUCAGGCCAAUCUACACCCCAUGGCCAUUCAAAGUUGUACAAAUCAUGAUGCUGCACCCCACGGUUUACGUUCUAGGGGUCGCCAAAGAUAACCCAAAAAUCCACAUUCUUAAAAGUCUUAUAACUUUUCAUUUUUGUCCUCACUGGCUUCAAAGUUUUCUAGGAUGAUGCAAUGUCUAGCCAUCAACACAUUUGUGAAGGAAUUUUUCUCCCUAAAAGAGUGCCCCCCCAUGGCAGGAGAAAAAGUCAAGUUUUUCCUGCCCAUCGCUCAAUGGCUCAAACACAUCGCUCUCUCGGAAAAAAACGAAAGGAGGAGGAACUUGCCAUUUGGAUAUAUCCUAGCUGUGUUUGUGCCCUCACUCAUGGUCCAGACUUUUUUCAAAUAGGACAUGUAGUUUGUCUGCAGCAAGCGUUUUGGUAGAAACUGCGCCUCCCAUUCAUUAUAAUGGUAAAUGACCACAGACAAGUGCGCACACCAUCGUUGAACCUUGAGUGUGACGCGAUCGGGAGGGAGAGGCGGUCGUGUUGGGGGCGGCGUGACACAGCUCGGGCCCGCCAGUGCCCCAACGGGGCCCUAGUUAUUUUUCCUCCCCUUUGAACUGGAAAAUGGCCCACUUCCCACCCGCGAAAACUCAUGAAAUUUGGCAGGACGACCGGGCCUGGUGAAAAAUUUGAUAUUCCGAAGUCGCCCAAACAAGAAAAUGCAAAAUGGCUCCAUAGCGCCCCCUAAGGUGAAAAUUCACACUAUUGACUGUCACGCCUGUACGCUUUGUCAAAAUGACACAAAAAUUGACACACACAUGUAUCUCAGUAAGAUCUACAAAAAAGUCAGUGCGGGCGUAUCUGUCAAAUGUACGGUUAAAGGGUUAUUUCGCAUUUUUUGCCGAUCCGCACACAUUGGAAUUUCGCUAACUCCUCCGAAGGCUUUCGUUCCACCAGCACCACAUUUGCUCAGGCCAAUCUACACCCCAUGGCCAUUAAAAGUUAUUCAAAUCAUGACGCUGCACCCCAAGGUUUAGGUUCUAGGGGGCGCCAAAGAUAACCCUAAGAUCCACAUAUUUAAAAGUCUUAUAACUUUUUAUUUUUGCCCUCACUGGCCUCCAAGUUUUCUAGGAUGAUGCAAUGUCCAGCCAUCAACACAUUUGUGAAGGAAUUUUUACUCCCCAAAAGAGCGCCCCCCCAUGGCAGGAGAAAAAAGUCCAUUUUUUCUUGUCCCCUAAGGUGAAAAUACACAUUGUUGAGUGUAACACCUGUACGCUUUGGCAAAAUGACACAAAAAUUGACACACACAUGUAUCUCAAUAAGAUCUACGAAAAAGUCAAUGCGCGCGUAUCUGUCAAAUGUACGGUUAAAGGGUUAUUCCGCAUUUUUUGCCGAUCCGCACACAUUGGAAUUUCGCUAACUCCUCCGAAGGCUUUCGUUCCACCGGCACCACAUUUGCUCAGGCCAAUCUACACCCCAUGGCCAUUAAAAGUUAUUCAAAUCAUGACGCUGCAUCCCACGGUUUAGGUUCUAGGGGGCGCCAAAGAUAACCCUAAAAUCCACAUAUUUAAAAGUCUUAUAACUUUUUAUUUUUGUCCUCACUGGCCUCCAAGUUUUCUAGGAUGAUGCAAUGUCCAGCCAUCAACACAUUUGUGAAGGAAUUUUUACUCCCCAAAAGAGCGCCCCCCCAUGGCAGGAGAAAAAAGUCAAUUUUUUCUUGUCCCCUAAGGUGGAAAUUCACACUAUUGACUGUCACGCCUGUACGCUUUAUCAUAUUGACACAAAAAUUGACACACAUAUGUAUCUCAAUAAGAUCUACAAAAAAGUCAAUGCGCGUGUAUCUGUCAAAUGUACGGUUAAAGGGCUAUUUUGCAUUUUUUGCCGAUUCGCACACAUUGGAAUGUGGCUAACUCCUCCUAAGGCUUUCGUCCCACUGACACCAAAUUUGCUCAGGCCAAUCUACACCCCAUGGCCAUUCAAAGUUGUAAAAAUCAUGACGAUGCACCCCACGGUUUACGUUCUAGGGGGCGCCAAAAAUGACCCAAAAAUCCACAUUCUUAAAAGAAUCCACAUCCCCCCCCCUAUGGCAGGAGAAAAAGUCAAGUUUUUCCUGCCCAUCGCUCAAUGGCUCAAUCGCAUCGCUCUCCAGGCAACACCGUAAGGAGGAGCAACCUGGCAUUUCGAUAUAUCAUAGCUGUGUUUGUGCCCUCACUCAUGGUCCAGACUUUUUUCAAAUAGGACAUGAAGUUUGUCUGCAGCGAGUGUUUUGGUAGAAACUGCGCCUCCCAUUCAUUAUAAUGGGAAAUGACCACAGACAAGUGCGCACACCAUCUUUGGUUCUUGAGUGUGACUCGAUCGGGACGGGGAGGCGGUCGCACUGGGGGCGGCGCGACGCGGCUCGGGCCCGACAGUGCCCCACCGGGGCCCUAGUUAGGGCCCGAGCCAGCUGCAGAGCAGCCGGGCGUAGGCCCCAUUAUUCCCCAAGUGGUUUUUCUUUGUUUCUUUCUUUAGGGCCCGAGCGUAGCUGCUAAGCAGCUGCGAGAGCCCUCUUGUUCCUGCAUGUUUCCUUCUUUCGUUAUUAUUUUUCCUCCGCUUUAAACUGGAAAAUGGCCCACUUCCCACUGGCGAAAACUCAGGAAAUUUGGCAGGACGACCGGGCCUGGUGAAAAAUUCGAUAUUCUGAAGUCGCCCAAACAAUAAAAUGCAAAAUGGCUCCAUAGCGCCCCCCAAGGUGAAAAUUCACAUGACGGCUGUACGCUUUGUCAUAUUGACACAAAAAUUGACACACACGUGUAUCUCAAUAAGAUCUACAAAAAAGUCAGUGCGGGCGUAUCUGUCAAAUGUACGGUUAAAGGGUUCUUCCGCAUUUUUUGCCGAUCCACACACAUUGGAAUUUCGCUAACUCCUCCGAAGGCUUUCGUUCCACUGGCACCACAUUUGCUCAGGCCAAUCUACCCCCCAUGGCCAUUAAAAGUUGUACAAAUCAUGACGCUGCACCCCACGGUUUACGUUCUAGGGGGCGCCAAAGAUAACCCAAAAAUCCACAUUCUUAAAAGUCUUAUAACUUUUUACUUUUGUCCUCACUGGCCUCCAAGUUUUCUAGGAUGAUGCAAUGUCCAGCCAUCAACACAUUUGUGAAGGAAUUUUUACUCCACAAAAGAGCGCCCCCCAAUGGCAGGAGAAAAAGGUCAAUUUUUUCUUGUCUCCUAAGGUGAAAAUACAUAUUGUCGAGUGUCACGCCUGUAUGCUUUGUCAUAUUGACACAAAAUUUGACAAUCACGUGUAUCUCAAUAAGAUCUACGAAAAAGUCAAAGGGCAUGUAUCUGUCAAAUGUACGGUUAAAGGGCUAUUUUGCAUUUUUUGCCGAUCCGCACACAUUGGAAUUUCGCUAACUCCUCCGAAGGCUAUCUUUCCACCGGCACCAAAUUUGCUCAGGCCAAUCUACACCCCAUGGCCAUUAAAAGUUGUACAAAUCAUCUUGCUGCACCCCACGGUUUGGGUUCUAGGGGGCACCAAAUAUAACCCAAAAAUCCACAUUCUUAAAAGUCUUAUAACUUUUUAUCUUUUUCCAUACUGGCCUCCAAGUUUUUUAGGAUGAUGCAAUGUCCAGCCAUCAACACAUUUGUGAAGAAAUUUUUACUCCCCAAAAGAGCGCCCCCCCCAUGGCAGGAGAAAAAAGUCCAUUUUUUCUUGUCCCGAAAGGUGAAAAUACACGUUGUUGAGUGUCACGCCUUUACGCUUUGUCAUAUUGACAAAAAAAUUGACAAUCACGUGUAUCUCAAUAAGAUCUAUGAAAAAGUCAAUGGGCACGUAAGUGUAAAAUGUACAGUUAAAGGGCUAUUUUGCAUUUUUUGGCGAUUCGCACACAUUGGAAUUUCGCUAACUCCUCCGAAGGCUUUCGUCCCACUGACACCAAAUUUGCUCAGGCCAAUCUACACUCCAUGGCCAUUCAAAGUUGUAAAAAUCAUGACGCUGCACCCCACGGUUUA